GUAUGUGUGGUUAUAAAUUCGAACAGGAAAAAUCGUGUAAGAAACGCAAUUAAAGUUGGCAUAUAUAGUUGAUGGAAUAGAAUGAAAUUAAGCUUGGCCACAAUGUUAGACAUAAUAAGUAGUAGGAUUGGCUUUUUAAUCUGUCUAUAAUUUAUACUUUACGACUACAAGAGUCUACGUUGUUGGUCUAACAAUCCUUUGGAACUUAAUCCAUAAUUCACCUUGUCCCCUCACCUGUUAGUUAGGUAACAUUGAAUACUCAAAUACUUUUUUCAACCGCAUAUAUUUAAAAAAAUUGAUAAAUUAAAAUAUAGUAAAGGAGGAUAUAUAAAUAGAAAAAAUAAUUAAUAUUAUAAAAUAAUAAAUUAUUUAAGAUAAAAAAAUAUAAUAAAUAAAACAUUUAAAAUAAAAUGGAAAAAUUAUAAUUUUAUCAAAAAUAAAUAUACUAUAAUAAGAAGGUUGACGAAAAUUAAUGCGUCUUAAAUAUUGAAUUUAUAUGUAUUAUUAGUAUAACACUCUACAUUUUCAAUCGAAUAAGUAUGAAUAUAAUAUAUAUAUAUACAAAUAAGUAUGUGACAAAGAAGUAAAGACCUCUCAAUUUAAUUUAUUUUUUUUAAAUAAAAUAUAAGUAAAAAUAAUAGUUAAAAUAUUAAUAUAUCAGAUUAAACAUUAAAAUCAGAUGUAUCAACUUCAAUUAUAUUUUUUACAUGAAUUUUUAUUUCAUAGUAGUAUAUAAAAAUGUUUUUUUAUUAUGGUUUUGAAUGUAUAUACAAAGGCGAAGUCUCAUAAUUAUAGGGUAGCUAAGGCUACCUGAAAAAUUAAUUUGGAUCGAAUGUGUAAGCAUAUUCUUAUAAUUAAUUAUUUUAAUAAUAUAUAUUUAGCUAUUUUAAAAAUUUAUUUGCUAAAAAUUAAAAUGUAAAAAAAUUAUUACUUAAUUGAUAUAUUUAUUGGUAUUGUUUUAACACCGCAAAUCUCUAUAGCAAUUGCAGAUAGAAUUUUUCAACAAUAAAAAUUAUCAAAAUAAUAGUCAGAAAUAAAAUUCAUUAUGAUUUUUUUUGAAAAAAAUUAGUUGUUACAUUAAACACAUUGUUAGUUAGACAAGUUAUUAUAAAUUUCUUUUUUGACUGACUUUUAUUAUAGAUUUGAUAAUGAAUGAUUUGACUACUUAAAAGGGCUAUCAAGCUCAAUUGUUUUCAAAAUAACAAAAGCUGAUUUUUAUUUCUUUUAUUAUUAUUUUAAUUUACAUUUUAUAUAAGUAUAAGUAUAGAUUAUUGUGAUUUUUUUGGUAUAUAUGCUCCCUCUAAUUCCAAUUACAAGAAACAAAAUAUUAAAAAAAUAAAACAAGUUUAACGAAUCCAUUUAUUGUUUUAACUUUUUGAAUAUUUUUCCAUAGCAAUAUAUAUCUUACAAAAAGUUAUAAGACAUUAAAUAUAUUCAUUAAUAUUAAAAAAAACACAAAUAUAUUAAAUGGGGGUAAAAAAUAACUUAAAUAAUUAAUAUACAUUAAAAAGUUUUAAUUUUUUAUUUAUAAAUAAGACAAAAAACUUGUUCUAAAGUCUCUUUAUAAAUACGAUUGAAGGAAAUAUUAAUGUUAAAAAAAUAAUUUUUUUUGUUUAUAUUUAACCUCUACAUAGAAAAUAUAUUAAUUUUUUCACUAAAAAUGAUCUAUAUCUUAGAAGGACGUUAUUCAAGGUAUUGCCUUUAAAUUAUAAUUUAAUUAACAAAUAUUAAUAUUAUUAUAUUAAAUAUUUUAAUUUAUUUUAAAUUUAUAUUUUAAACUUAAGAGUUGUAUGUGAAUUCAUAGUAAUGUUUUAUCUUUUCUAUGUACAAAAAGUAAAAGAAAAUACAUGUAUCCAUUUUUUCAUACAAAUUGUUGGCAUUAUACCUUCCCCGUUCAGAAAAAAAUAAUUGGACAUUUCAAUUACUUUUCAUGUUUAAGGUUUUUAACUUAACUUUAUUUUUUGGUUACAUAUUUUUAUUUUAAUUUUUUAUGUCUUAAUUUUAACUAAUAAGCAUGAUAAAAUAUAUUGUAAAAAAAACAUGAUAGAAUAUAGAUAUUUAUAAUACUUCUCUCAUCAUUUUCUUUUGCAAUUGUUUCUUAAAUUGUUAAAACAUUACUUUUAUUGUUUCGGAUUUUUUAGUCGAUUUGUCUACCUUUUCUCUAUCACAAUUAUUUACUACACAAAUAUUUCAUUUUUAUUUUGCUAACAAAUUUAAAAUAAACAUAAAUUUUAAAAAGUGACAACUGAAAAAGUUUUCUAAGUGAAUAGACCCUUAGACUUAUGCUUGAGCUAUUACUCCAUCCAUUUCAUAUGGACUAAACACUUUUUGGAAGGAUAUGUGGGUGAAUGGGUAAAAAUAUGUCGAAACUUUUUGUAUGGAAACUCUUGAGUAAUCGAAAUCUAACAAAGGAUAAUUUUGAUUCGAUGCGGAGUUACUAGAUUGUGGAUCUCGGUUUUUGAGUUAGUUGGGUGUUGAUAGUGUGUUUCAAAAUUUUGCAGUACAUCACACUCUAAAACAAUUUAAGUUACAAUUUAGUUGAGUCAUCAAAAUUUGCAAUUACCACAUUUUAAUGUAUAUUGUGUACACUUAAUUGAACUAUUCUUAAAAACUACAAUUUAACAAGUAGCUUUUUAUAUGACAUAGCAAUUAUUGUUCAAAUCAUAACAUAAAUUGAUAAUGUAAAUUUUUAUUAUAGAUCACUAGAAAUAUUUCCCCACGCCAAAUAACACCGGCCAAAUAAACACAUAGUUAACUCCUUACUCCCUCCAUUUAAAAAUAUAAAUAAAAAUACGUUACAAAAAUUAAUUUGGUCCAAUCAAUUUUUUAUUUAUAUUUUUAAGACAUGUGUAGUAUACUAGUAUUAUGUAACUCUUCUACCUCUAUCAUUUUUCAUUUUUUUGGGUACUUGUUUUCCGUUUUUCUUUCUUUGAAUUUUUUUUUGGAUAAAUGUUUAAAAGUUUUAGCUAAACAGUACAUGGGUCCUUUAACUUAAUUUCCGUUAAUCUUUUAUUUUAUUUUUUUUGAUUUGAACGUUUAUUUUAAUUUUAAGUGACAAUUUGAUCUUUUAUGUUUUAAAAUAUCAACAAUGUUAUUUUUUUUUAUAAAAAUUUAAAAAAUUCUUCAAAAUUUUCAAGCAAAAUUCAUAAAACUAAUUAUCAUCUUUAAUAUAAAUUUCAUCAAAUGCACAACUCAAAUAUUCAAAUAAACUCAUAUUUUCAUCUCAACAACAUCAAAUAAAGAAUGAAAAUGUGAGUUUAUUUAAAGAUUUAAGUUAUGAAUUUGAUUAAAUUUGUAUUAUAUUGAAGAUGAUAAUUAAUUUUAUAGGUUUUGUUUGAAAAUUUUGAUGAAUUUUUAUAAAUAAAUAAAAAGAUAAUAUUGUUGACAUUUUAAAACAUAAAAAAUCAAUUUGACUCUUAAAAUUAAAAUAAAAGACCAUAUCAAAAUAAAUAAAAAAUAAAUAAUUAAAACUUUUUAUAACUGAAAUUAAGUUAAGGAACGCAAAUAUUAUUUAAUGUUAUUUAGUAAAAUAGAAUUGCAACUAGUUCCAUUUUAAAAAAUGAGUGCAUAAUUACUCAUUUUGAAUAUUCAAUUCUUCAAAUUCAACAAAAGAAAAUAAAAGACACCAUAUUGUAUAUAAAUUUGUAGUUCAACAUCAAUAGUAUAAAUUCAAAAGUACAAGCAAUAACACCAAACUGGUAAUUAAGUAAAAAGGAAAAAUUACAAAGGCUUUUUCACACCAUACAAUACAACAAAUACUAUACUAUAAUCAUAACCUCGUACAAUCUCAUCACACGCUAAAAGGAAACGAUGCAAUGUCUAUUGCAUGCAAUUAGCUAACCACAUAAUGCAAGGUAGCAAAGUAACAAGUGAAAAAGUGUUUAAUUAAGGGGUAGAGGUUGAAGGAGGUGGAGAGAAAAAUGGGAUGGAUGGGAAAGUGGUUGGGAUAAUUGAAGGAAUGUUGGGAAGUGAAGUGGCUGGCAAUGGUGGAAUGUUGAGAGAUGGAAGUGUUGGAAUAUUGGUAGGAAAGCUUGGAAGUGGUGGCAUAGUGAGCUUAGGCAUAGAUGGAAUGGUAGGGAAUGGAGGAAGAUUUGCUUGAGGCAAUGUUGGAAUUGAAGGCAAAGGUGGCAAUGUUGUUGUGGGAUUUGGCAAAGUGGGAAUGUUAGGCAAAUUUGGUUGUGUUGUUGUUUGCAAAAGAUGGCGAGCUUCAAGGCUUAUCAUGUUCAUGCUUGAGAUGGUCACAAGAAAAAGUAAAGAUGUGAUGAAGGAUUUGUUUGAUGCCAUUGAUGAUGAACUGUAUUUGUAUUGAGAGAAUUUGGUUUGGGAUUGAAUGAGAAACAAAGGGAUAUUGGAUGGUCUUAUAUAGAAAAAGAGAAAUUUGAAGGAGGGUAUUUUGGAGAACCAUAAAAGCUUUUGCAAUAUUUAGUUAGUUCAACUUCUUGUGUUUCACUUUGACUAAAGCAUUUUAUGUGGUUAAACUGGUUAGCUACUACUAUUACUAUUAGUUAUGACCCCCAAAACAUUCAAAUGUAUGAUGGCCAUGGCCAACUCUUUCUGUUUUUUAUUUUAAAAACUUUAAAUGUACUUUUAUUCAUUUUAUUUUGUUCAAAAUAAAUUUUUAGGUUUUUUUUUUAUUUUUAAAUUUAUCUCUUUAUUUCAUGUUUCAUUGGUCUCUUUUAUUUUUUAGGAGGUGACAUAUUCAUUAAUAACAUAGUGGUGAUGUGGUAAAACUGAAUUGGAUAAAAUUGAAUAUUUGUUAUUAAUUAAUACUCAUUUCAUGAUUAUUUAUUCGACAAAUUUCACGAAUACAUUUGUUAGUAACAACGUAAACAAAGAUUAUAAAAAAGAAAAGAAUAUUAAUUACAAUUUUAUUUUAUUUAAUUUAAUUGUGUCAAAUUAAUAUUACGUCAUUAAUAAAAAUAUCACAUAGAAAAACAGAGGCACGAAUCAAAUUUCACAAAUUGUAUAACAGACCAAAAAUCCAAUUAAAAAAGAGAUAGAUUAUAAUUAUUGAAUAAUUUUGAAAAGUGCGAGAGGAUAAAAUGACAAAUGUUAAUACAUAAUAGUUUUUAUGGAUUUGGUGACCAAGAAAAAUGUUGUUGCAACACAGGAUGUGAUGUGUAAGAGUUGGUAAUCUAGUUGGGUUCCCCUGUUUCCAAAACUCACUUAACAGCUAUAACCAUUUUACCAUUUCACAUCAACAAUUAGUUAUAACCUCCCAAACAUUCAAAUGUAUGUAUGAUGGCCAACUCUUUCUGUUUUUUAUUUUAAAACAUUUAUAUGUAUUUUUAGUUAUUUUAUUUUGCUCAAUAAUUAACUUGCUUAUUUUAAUCUAAAAUUGUUCAUGGGUACUAAAUUUGUCACCGGUACGGUAUAGAUAAAAUUAACAAAUGCGAAGGUAAAUAUACUGAUAUUUAUAUCUACAAUCAUCCAUGCUCGUUAAAUUUUUAUAUAAAAUUACCAUGUUUUAAUGCAUUUUGUUCAUGUGUUGAUGUAGUAAUACUUUUUGUGUUGUCAAUAAAGGAAAAAGAUCUACAUAACUGCAAAAUAAUAAUAAUUUUUGUAUUUUAAAUAAUUUUUUUAUUUAAAAGAUAUGUGAACAUAUUCGCUAAUACAUGUAGAUAGUAAUAGUUCGUUAAAUCUUGUUUAGUGGAUAUUUGUCUGGAUAUGGAUAAAACAUGGAUAUUAUUCUUAAAAAAUAUAUUGAAAGAAGGAUUGUGAAGGAUUUUUUUAGAAUUUAAAUAAAUUAUUCAAAUGUUUUCUAUGUUUUUAAAAUACUCUGAAAAUUUAAAAUUCAUUAAUCAUAAAUAUUCACGAUUUAUCUGUUUUCCGUUUUCAACAAACUCUCAAACGGAGCAUUAGAAAAUAAUGUCUUUCUUUAAUUACGAGAUGUUGUGCAGCCUGUGCUCAUUGUGUUGCUAAAGUAAGUGCUUGUAUGCAAGAUGCCAUACACUAAUAACAAAUUAAGGUAAGCUAGAGCUUUAGCUCACACUAAAAUAAAAAAAUAAAGCAUUUUGAGGCAUUGAAGAAACACUGAAAAAGGUGACAUGUGGAACUUUUUGUAAAUGAAAGGAUGCAAAGAGAGAUGUAUGCACUAGGCUGAGUAAUAUUUAGUAGAUGGCUGCUUAAUUAAUGUUUGUGGUUUAUUUAAUUUUGUGAGCUAAUAGGCUAAACCUCACGCUUGGGAUGGACAAAGUAGUAAAUAGAAAAGCUAUGGGCUUGUGAUGAAGUGAAAGAACUAGAGUGAACAUGCCAUGACUAAAUGAAUUGUAAGGUAGAAGAAUAAUUUGUAAGGAUCAUCCAACUUGCACAGUUGCAUGGCUCAAAUAAUCAAAGUCCCGGAUUUUUGUGUGAAAGAAUAUGUGAACGAAGUCAGAAAGUAUUUGAGAAGUUUAUUUAUUAUAAAAUUUUGAUUUCUUUGAUUGUCAUUGGACAACCUUUGUAGUUUUUUAUUUGGUUUUAAAUUUUUCAUAUUAUUUUCUGGUUUUUAAUUGUGUUUCUUAAUUCUUUAUGUCUAUUUUCCAACAGUUUACCUUCCAGAAUAUGAAAAAUAUUACAGUACUGAAGACAUAUUUUGUUGUUGGUUUAACAAAUUGAGCUAAUGGCGGCUUCAAUGCUAUUGCAACUUUGUUAUAAAUUUCCCCUCAACGCCAAGAGCCUACAAAUCACACUAGUAAUAUUGGAUGGAAUAAUAAUAUUUGGCUGACAUUUAAUGUAAACUUAAAAGUUAUAACCAUAACAACACAAUUAUUUUCCUUCUAGUUGUAUUUGAAUUUUACCAAGUAAAAAAUUUGAAGAAUCUAGUUGCCAAAUAAUCAUUUCAUACUAAUUACGCAACUCUAUUUAGUAUAAUUAACACUUUUCUCAUUAGAGUUUGAACCAUGGUCUUUUUAUUCAUUCAACACCUUCAAUCUUUAGAUCAAAUCAAUUGAACAAUCAAAUUAUUAUUAUUAUUAUUAUAAUAAUAAUAAAUCAUUAUUAUUAUUAUUAUUAUUAUUAUUGUUGUUGUUAUUAUUAUUAUUAUUAUUAUUAUUCAAUAGUACUUUUCCUGCAAUUUUUCCUUCUUUGAAUUUUUGUGAGUAGUGUUUAAUAUAUUGCAUUAGAAUUGCUAGUUUCUUUUAUAAAAAAAAGACUGCAUAAUAAUUAAUUCUUCUAAUUCAACAAAAACAAGAAAGAAGACAUCAAAUUAUAUUGUAUCAAAAUGUGAAAUUCAACAAAUAUAAACUCAAAAGUACAAGCAAUAGCACCAAAGUGGUAAGUAGAAGAAGACAAAUUACAAAGGCUUUUCACACCAUACAAUACAACAAAAGAUAAUACUAUCAUCAUAACCUCGUACUAUUUCAUCACACACAAUAAAGAAAGUAUGCAAUGUCUAUUGCAUCCAUUUAGCCAAAUCACAUAAUUCAAAUUGGCAAAUAUAACAAGUGAAGAAGUGUUUAAUUAAGGGCUAGAGGUUGAAGGUGGUGGAGAGAAAAAUGGGAUGGAUGGGAAAGUGGUUGGGAUUGAAGGAAUGUUGGGAAGGGAAGUUGCUGCCGAUGGUGGAAUGUUGAGAGAUGGAAGUGUUGGAAUAUUGGUAGGAAAGCUUGGAAGUGGCGGCAAAGUGACUUUAGGCAGAGAUGGAAUGGUAGGCAAUGGAGGAAGAUUUCCUUGAGGCAAUGUUGGAAUUGAAGGCAAAGGUGGCAAUGUUGUUUUGGCAUUUGGCAAAGUGGGAAUGUUUGGAAAAUUUGGUUGUGUAGUUGUUUGCAAAAGAUGGCGACCUUCUAGGCUUAUGCUCAUGCUUGAGAUGGUCACAAGAAAAAGUAAUGAUGUGAUGAAGGAUUUGCUUGAGGCCAUUGAUAGUUUGAUGAAUUGUAGGAGCUAAGGAGGCUGUUUGUAUAGAGAAAAUUUGCUUUGGAUUUUAUGAGAAGCAAAGGGAUAGUGAAUGGUCUUAUAUAGAGUAAGAGAGAUGUGAAGGAGGGUAGUUUGGAGAAUCAAGUGCUUUUGCAAUAUUUAGUUAGUUCAACUUCUUGUGUUUCACUUUGACUAAAGCAUUUUAUGUGGUUAGAUUGGUUGGCUACUAUUAGUUAUACAACCCCCAAACAUUCGAAUGUAUGAUAGCCAACUCUUUCUGUUUUACUAUAUUUUAAAAAGAGCAAAAGAGGAUAAAAUGGCAAGUUUUUAUAUAUAAAUAUAUUUAGUUUUAUGGAUUUGGUGACAUAAAAAUAUGUUAGAAACAGGAUGUAAUAUCUAAGAGUUGGUAAUCUAAUUGGGUUGAUCGCUGUUUUCAGAACUCACCCUUUUAAUCCAACAAUGUUAAUGAAUUCAACGAGGAUAAAACAUUGAAGUGUUGUUCUAAAGCUACAAGUAUAGAGGAUAAAACAUUGAAGUGUUGUUCUAAAGCUACAAGUAUAAAGGUCAGUUUCACAGUCCUAUAAUUAUUGUCAUCAACUCAUAUGUUAGAAAGAUAAAAAAAAUAUCAUAGUUUAAAAGAUCCAAAAUAACAUAAAAAACCUUUAAAAUUAAAAAAAUUCUAAAAUUUUGUGAGCAUGUAGACCCCCUUUUUUAAAUUUAUCUUUCAAUUAUUUUUUAAAAAACAAAUUGUGAAUUUUUUUUUUCGAUUUCUUCCAAUAAAAAAUGAAUUCUAAGGAAUUUUUUUUUAUUGUUUUGAGAAAAAAUAAUUUAUUGUUUUAUUUAUUCCGCAAAACAUUUUCAAGAAAAAAUUAAUUAAUUUUUUAGAAUCCGUGUGUAAAUAUGUAAUUUGCGAAAGUUAAGUUUUUCGGCAGAAAUAAUUACUUACCUCCAAGCCAAACUCAAUAUUGUCAUGACCUUUUUUACUCUGGAAAUUGGCUCAAUAUUGUCAUGACCUUUUUAACUCUGAAAAUUGGAACAUUGAGAAGAAAAAACAACAAUAAGAAUAGGUUAGAAUAAACAACAUACUCACAGGCUCACAGCAAUAUAUUACAAAUAGACUGGAAUAAAUAACAAUAUAUUGAUUCAUUCAUUACUAUAAAAUGUCGCCAUAAUGUCCUAGCAUCAAGUUCUCCCUCUCCCUCUAACUAGUAGGCUUCCCUUCAUCUAAUCUACUUUCUGCUUACAAGGCUUUUAUCGAUCUUUUCUACACUUUCCCAAAUCACUUUAUGUGAGAUUCUAUUAUCUUCUCCACAAUAGGUGCUAAAUUUCUAUUUCUCCUAUAUUUCUUCAAUCUAUUUAUGCGCCUCACAAAGAGAUAUAUUUUGCUUAGACCUAGUAUGUUUACUUAAAACACAUGUGCUACCCCAACAACCUUCCUUUCAAAUGUGAAAACAAGGAACUUCUGUGCUCCUAUAUUUCUUCAAUCUAUUUAGGUGCCUCACAAAGAUAUAUACUUUGCUGAGACCAAGUGUGUUACUUGGAACACACCAUAUAAGAGCUGACACUGUACCAUUUAGCAAAGACAAUAAAACAUCUAUGCAUAGAUAAAAUCCACCACAUCCAACUACCGGGAAAUGCAGGCAAUUCAACAAAACAUGCUAAUGAACAAAGGCCAAACUAUAAAAUAUUCAUUAAACACCUUCUAUGAUCCCUGUACUUGUAAGUUGAAAAGGCAUGAUACAGAAACCCGAAGAUUGACAAGUAGCUCAAAAUACAAAUGCCAUAAUGGACUCCCUAGCAAAUACCAGUUUGUUACCUUUCUAGCAGUUUGAAAAAUGCUGCAACGUUUCCUGACAGCACCAAAGAGUCAAAGACCUAAUAGAAAUCUUUACACCGAGAAAUUGCCUUUUAAGACAAAGGAUGAUGUCUUUAAGCCUCGAUCAAACAGACUUGUAAGGAUGUGAUGAAACGAAAAGAAGACUAGACAUGUUCCAUACAACAUGGUACAGAAAGUGGCCUCAACAUAUAACAUUGCAAAACCCUGAUACAGAAGGUGACCUCAACUUACAACAGAGCAAAGCCACACAACACCCCAGAAGAAAACAACAGAACCAAACAGAAAAAAAAAAUCCAAAAUAAACACUUGCAUGCAAAUAUGCAACUGUGAAAUGUUUUAUAUACAAAAUACUCACUAACAAGCAUGGUUAGAGUGCCAUCAGACAAUACAUAUGUAUAUAUGUCUUAAUUUUCAUGCAUACAGUCGGGAGUUUAGGGCCAAGUAAAACUCCAAAAAAAGCUCAUUCUUGCCUCAUUAGUGAGAGAUAGUAUGGCUGACUUAUUAAAAAGCAUCAAUCUAUAUAUCCUUCCUCAAUGGUACAACAAUAAUCUACAUGAUAUGAAGUCGUCCUCUUCAAAUACUUCAAAAACUAUAAUGUAUUGAGAUGCUGCCACAACUUAUUAUAAAAUCUAACAACAACAAGAAUUUCACAACAACUCAGCACCAUUUUAUGCAACAAUUGCAAACAUACAAGUAAUGACAUCUAUAGUCUACAAAAAUUAGAAAAAAGGAAUCUAGAAUGCAAAAUGACUAUUGACCUUUAACCUUAUCAUCUCCCACAACAUUGAGAAUGGGUAAGCUACUGAGGAACUCAUCAAGACCCUCAAAAAACCCAAUCCCUUCAAUAUUAUCCUCAGCAUUGCCAGUUGCAUUCCCUUCACGGGCACGCACUCCACGGGAAGGCUCCUCCACCUCAUUACUGAACUCCACAUUCAAAUCCAACUUCCCCAAGUUUCCAGCACCCCUCCUUCUUGAACUACCCGGUACAGCUUUCUUACUAGAAUCUAGCUUUACACCACUAGCAGCAGCAUCAACAGCCCCAACACUGUUCUCAUUCUCAUUCCCAUUCCCAUUCCCUGCAGCACCAGUAGCAUUCCUCCUAGGUCUCUCCCCAGCUUCCCUCCUAGCACUACCACUAGCAUUAGCAGAAUCUUUCCUAUACUUUUUACCACUAACUCUUGACCUCUUGACCCCUUUAUUCUUACCACUACCACUACCAUGCCUCCAAUCCCCAUCAUCAGAAUCAUCAUCACUAGGAUCAGAAAUAUCGAUAAACGCCGCAGCAGCCUCUUCAUCGUAGUAAACCCAACUCUUUUUCUUAUUGGACGAUUUCGAAGGGAAUGGAAAUAGAGGGCAUAACGGGUUCCAAUUAGAAGAAGCCCCAUUAACAUCUUUCAAAUCCCCUGAAAACCCUAAAGGGAAAAAACCCCAUGUACAAAACGAAGAAUCAAUCUCGUUCAAAGGUGGUGAACGUAUCACCACCGCAUGAAACCCCCUCCGACAACUCUGGCACCGCAGGGCACACUCUUCGUAACCCUUCGGAUACUCAUAAUAAACGUAACAGUAAGGACACAAGGUCCAGAAGCUAAUGCUACCUUCCGUUUCAGCAGCACUCGCUGUCCGAGUCUGCCGAGUCGACUCAGUGGAUUCGUUAGGGUUUCGAUUCUGCCUAGUCGGCUCUGUCGCGGCGUCUUUAGAUCUCGGGUUUUUCUUCGGCGUCAGGUUAGGAGGCGGAUACUGCUGAUGCUGAGGCACAGGUUGUGGCGGAGGCUGAUGCUGCGGAGGAGCCGGCGGGGAAGUGAGCAAUCGUAAGUCGCUAUCGUACAAAGCCUUCUUGGCAGUGUUGGAGAGAACAGACCAAGCAUCAUGGACAAGAGAAAAGGCAUGGCCGGAGAAGGCGAAGGGGUUCCGGUUAGGGUCAAGAAGGAGUGCGAGACGACGGUAUUGAUUAGCGAUGUGAUCGAUGUUGGUGGUGUAACGGAGGAUUUGGAGGAUUCCGUACCAAUCGCGGUGGUGGUCGUUGAUCCGCGAUUCACCGGCAAGGAGAGUGUCGAUGACAGCAAGGAGAAGCUCGGAGGCGUCGAAAGUAGGGUCAGAUUCGCGGGCACGGAUUGCGAAGGAGCGAGCACCGUGCAGGUCACGUGCGCUUAGAAGCUUGUUGGCGGUGUAAAGCCACCGCUCAGCUUCGGCUCUAUUCCCACCUUCCAUAGUAAUGGUGGUGGUGGUUGUUAUUUCAGUGCUGAUGAAUGGACGAUAAAGGACUCUUGAUAGUGGUGGAAUUUUACGUCAUCAGUUGACGGCGGUGCGAGGACACAAUGGUAAUUCUAUAGAAUUGGGUUCUGUCGGAACUGUGAAUGUGAUGACAUGGUUGUGGCUGGAGCUGUCAAUCACGUAUUACAUAUUUCCUUAACUAUAAGUUUCAUUGUUUUUUAUUUGAAAAAUAGAUAAUAAAUUUAAUGUAUCAAUUUUAUAUGUUGAUCAUAUCCUUCGUAUAUCAAUUUAUUUUUUUGACAUUUUUGUUUUUCAAGAUUAAAGUAAUAGUAUCGAUAAUUGGUAUAUUUGAAAAGUAGAUAAAUAAAUAUUCCAAUAAUUUAAAAGGAUGUUUAAAUUUGGAAUAAAUUAUUUUCUUAAAAAAUAUAGGAUAAUAUUAAAACAACUAAGUCUUAUUGGUACAGUGUAUUUAAAUCGAUUUAAAAAUGGAUAGAAUAAAUUAAACCAAUGAAGAGAAAUGCUAAACCAAAUUUAUUGUCAAAAACAAAUCAAGAUUUUUUUUCUUAUCUUUUAUCCAUAAAAAAUUAUUCACCUUAAUUUCUCACACAACUAAAUUCAGUUAUAAAAUAAAAUAUAUAUAUUUAUGUAUAAAAGAAAAUUAAAUUAUCUAAAAUUUAUAUUUAAAUACUUUAUUUUUUUUAUUGAUUCAACUAUCUUUUACUUAAAAUUGUAGUUUAGUAGUUUUUAUCUACCCUAACUAUAAGAAUAUCAACUAUCUAAGAAAUAAAAACAAGUAUACCUAAUUUUAUUCAAAUUUUACUCUCAUCUUUUAUCAAUUUGCCAAUUUAUAUCUCAUUCAAAUCAUUAAUUCUAACAUUCUCUCUCUCACUCACAUAAUUUUUUCCUCUCUUCUAUAUCACCCAAACUUUCUCUUAUAUAAUAUAUAUCAUUAACAUUUUCCUUUUUUCUAAUAAAUUUCAAUAUUUUUUCUUAUUUAUUUUUUCUUUUACUUUCAUAACAUAUCGUUGUGCAUCAUUAGGGUAGACUUGGAUAACUUGAAUUUGUAACAUAUUUAAUUAAUUUCAAUUGAUUAAUUUUAAAAAAAUUCAAUAAUUUUAAUAAAUGAUGUAAUGAGUCAAUUUAAUUCUAUUUACAAAAAAGAGAAAAAAACAGAACUAAUAAAAAAAUAGGUGAGAGCAUAGACAAUAUGUAUUGUGUCCUACAUAUUAGAAGACUAUAGCCUAUAUCUAUUUAUAUUUGGUCUCGUAUUAAUUAAUUAAUGAUUUAAUUAGAAAUAUAGUUAGAUUAAUUACUUAAUUUUGAUCAUUAAUCUACUAAAGCUAUUAAAUAAUAACAAAAAUAAUAACAAUAGUAUUAAAUAAAUCGUUAACAUAAUUAAUUGAUAUUUGCGAAAUAAUAUUUAUUGAAAUAUAAUUAAAAAAUAAAAUAUUUCAACGCAAGUAUUUAAAUUAUGGCAAGGGAAUUGCUAGUCUUUUUUACAAAAAGUAAAUAAAACUAUUGCAUAAUAACUCAUUUUGAAUAUUCAAUUCUUCAAAUUCAACAAAAGAAAAUAAAAGACAUCAUAUUGUAUAUAAAUUUGUACUUCAGCAUCAAUAGUAUAAAUUCAAAAGUACAAAGCAACGGAGCCAAACAGGUAAGCAGAAAAAAAAAAUUACAAAGGCUUUUUCACACCAUACAAUACAACAAAGAUAAUGAUAUAAUCAUAAACUCGUACAAUUUCAUCACACGCUAAAAGGAAAUGAUGCAAUGUCUAUUGCAUGCAAUUAGCUAACCACAUAAUGCAAGGUAGCAAAGUAACAAGUUAAAAAGUGUUUAAUUAAGGGGUAGAGGUUGAAGGAGGUGGAGAGAAAAAUGGGAUGGAUGGGAAAGUGGUUGGGAUAAUUGAAGGAAUGUUGGGAAGUGAAGUGGCUGGCAAUGGUGGAAUGUUGAGAGAUGGAAGUGUUGGAAUAUUGGUAGGAAAGCUUGGAAGUGGCGGCAAAGUGACUUUAGGCAGAGAUGGAAUGGUAGGCAAUGGAGGAAGAUUUGCUUGAGGCAAUGUUGGAAUUGAAGGCAAAGGUGGCAAUGUUGUUGUGGGAUUUGGCAAAGUGGGAAUGUUAGGCAAAUUUGGUUGUGUUGUUGUUUGCAAAAGAUGGCGAGCUUCAAGGCUCAUCAUGUUCAUGCUUGAGAUGGUCACAAGAAAAAGUAAAUAUGUGAUGAAGGAUUUGCUUGAUGCCAUUGAUGAUGAACUGUAUUUGUAUUGAGAGAAUUUGGUUUGGGAUUGAAUGAGAAACAAAGGAAUAUUGGAUGGUCUUAUAUAGAAAAAGAGAAAUUUGAAGGAGGAGGGUAUUUUGGAGAACCAUAAAAGCUUUUGCAAUAUUUAGUUAGUUCAACUUCUUGUGUUUCACUUUGACUAAAGCCUUUUAUGUGGUUAAACUGGUUAGCUACUACUAUUACUAUUAGUUGUAACCCCCUAAACAUCCAAAUGUAUGAUGGCCAACUCUCUGUUUUAUAUAUUUUUAAAAGAGCAAAAGAGAGUAAAAUGGCAAGUUUGAGGUAUGUUAAGUUUGACUCAUAAUUUGGAUAUAUCUUUUAUGUUUUUUUUAUUUGCACCGUUAAUUUUUUUUUAAACGGUUUCUGUAAAAAAAAUUGCGUAUCUGGCAUUUAAAUCAAUUUUUAUUAAAAUUUUAAUUGAAAUUCUUAAAAUUAUCUAUUUUUUUAUCAGUUUCAUAAACUCUAAACUCUGAAAAUUUUAAAUUAAAAUCAAUAAGUUUUUUACUUUUCAUCAAACUCAUAAAACUAAAAUCCAUAAAUAAAUAAAUAAAUAAGGAAAUCUCUUUCUCUCUCUUUUGCUGUUGAUGUUUGGUGAUUGAUUUGAUGAGUUUGAUUUUAUGGUAAAUUAAUAUGGUAAAAUUGGAGUCACUUUUGAGAAAACGGUUAGUCCAAGAUGACAUGAAGUGUCUGUUAGGGUUUUUAACUAUUAGAUUUCAAUAAUUUAGAUUAUAUUUUUAUGGUUUCAAUUCUUAGUUUAGUUUUGGUUUAUUUUGUUUCAGAUUUUGGGUUUACAAUUUGUUCUUAUGGAAAAGAUUUGCUUUGGUGCGGUGGUUGGCCAAUAACAAGCAAUUUUUGUAUUGAAAAUAAAAAUCAGCGAUAACUAAUAAUUAAGAUAGCUAAUAAUUAGAAUGUACAAAAUAUAUGAUUAAUUAAAUUAUUUUAAUAAAUUAAAUUGUAUAUUAAUUAAAUUGUUUAUAAGUUGAACUCCAUAUUUAAAGUAAUCCAAUUAAUCAAAUUUAAUUUAAAAUUCAGUUUAACAAUUUAAAAAAAAUUUAACUUCAAUUUUCAAAUUGCUCACUCGUUUCAACAAAGCUCAAGGUAAUGGCUCAAACACACAAAAAACAGGUAAAAGAUAUAAACUAAUAAUUUGUUCUACUUCUACAAUAGGUGCCACAGAAAGAUUUCAAACCAUUUUAUUUGCAAAGCAAACCCAAACUAGCUACUAGUACAUACACAAACCGAUUAUUGGUAUUUUCAAGGUGUCUUGGCGUUCAGCAUACUGAAAGAUAAAUAUAUUCAAUAUGCUCGAACUGUAGGUGAUCUAUCAUAACCCUUCAUAUUCCCAGCAAGAAACAAUACAAAUAGGCAAGAAUAAGUUUAUUUUCAUCACAUCAAGAUAGUCUUGUCAAUAGUGUGCAUAAAAUGUCUCAUUUAUAAUUUUUCUAUGUCUCCCUCUACCUCUAACUAGUAGACUUCCCUUCUUCAUUUAAUCUACUCUCCAUACGAGGCGGCUUCUACACUUGCCCAAAUCACUUACUGUGAGAUUCUAUUAUCUUCUCCACAAUAGGUGCUAAAGUUCUAUUGCUCCUAUGUUUCUCAUUCUAUUUAGGCGCCUCACAAAGACAUAGUACUUUGCUUAGACCUAGUAAGUUACUUAGAACACGCCCUAUAAAGACAGAAAGAAAAGCUAAAAUAAACACUUGCAUGCAAUACUGUAAUGUUUAAUACACAAAACAAUUGGCUAACAUGCAUGGUUAGAGAAGCAUCAGAUCAUACAACAUAUACAUCUAGAAUACAAUAUGACUAAUCAUGACUUUUAACCUUAUCAUCUCCUACCACAUUGAGAAUGGGUAAGCUACUGAGGAACUCAUCAAGACCCUCAAAAAACCCAAUCCCUUCAAUAUUAUCCUCAGCAUUGCCGGUCACAUUCCCUUCAUGGUCACGCACUCCCCGGAAAGGCUCCUCCGCCUCAUUACUGAACUCCACAUUCAAAUCCAACUUCCCCAAGUUCCCAUCACCCUUCCUCCUCGAAUUAACGGGCACAAGUUUCUUAGUAGAAUCGGGCUCUACACCACCAGCAGCAUCAACAGCCCCAACAUUGUUCUCAUUCUCAUUCCCAUUCCCAUUCCCAUUCCCAUUCCCAUUACCAUUCCCUGCCGCAGCAGUAGCACUUCUCCUAGGUCUCUCUCCACCUACCCUUCUACCAUUAGCCCUUGACCUCUUCACCCCUCUCAUCACACCACUAUCACCCCUCCAAUCAGAAUCAUCGGAAUCAUCAUCACUGGGAUCAGAGAUAUCGAUAAACGCCGCAGCAGCCUCUUCAUCAUAGUAAACCCAACUCUUUUUCUUAUUGGAUUUCGAAGCGCAUGGAAAUAGAGGGCAUAUCGGGUUCCAAUUUGAAGAAGUCCCGUUCACAUCUUUCGAAUCGCCUGAAAACCCUAACGGGAAAAAUCCCCAAGUACAAAACGAAGAAUCUAUCUCGUUCAACGGCGGUGAACGUACCACCACUGCAUGAAACGCCCUCCGACAACUCUGGCACCGCAGGGCACACUCUUCGUACCUCUUCGGAUACUCAUAAUAAACGUAACAGUAAGGGCAUAAAGUCCAGAAGCUAACGUUACCUUCCGUUUCAGUAGCACUCGCCGUUGGUGUCUGCUGAGUCGACUCGGCUGGCUCGCUAGGGUUUUGAUUUUGCCGAGUCGCCUCUGUCGCGCCGUCUUUCUGUCUUGGGUUUUUCCUCGGCGUUGGGUUAGGAGGAGGAUACUGUAGAUGUUGAGCCACCAAUGGCGGAAGAGGAGGAUGCUGUGGCGCCGGUAGAGGAAUAGGCUGAGGAUGAGCCAACAAUGGCGGUGGCGGAAGAAGCGCCGGCGCCGGCGGGGAAGUGAGCAACCGUAGGUCGCUAUCGUACAUGGCCUUCUUGGCAGAGUUGGAUAGAACGGACCAAGCAUCAUGAAUAAGUGAAAAGGCGUGGCCGGAGUAGGCGAAGGGGUUCCAAUUUGGGUCAAGGAGAAAAGCUAGACGGCGGUACUGAUUAGCGAUAUGUUCGAUGUUGGUAGUGUAGCGAAUGCUUUGGAGUAUUCCGUACCAGUCACGGUGGUGGUCGGUAAUCCUUGCUUCUCCGGCGAGGAGAGUGUCGGUGACAGCAAGGAGAAGCUCAGAGGCGUCGAAGGUAGGGUCGGAUUCACGAGCACGGAUAGCGAAGGAGCGUGCACCAUGCAAGUCACGUGCGCUAAGUAGUUUGUUAGCAGUGUAAAGCCAGCGUUCAGCUUCGGCUCUGUUUCCACCCUCCAUGGUGGUUGGUGGUAGAGACGAAUGGACACUAAAAGAGUGUUUAAUAGUUAGAGGUGGAGGGAGGACAAUUUGGUAAUUCUAGUGAAUUGAGUCAUGACAGUACAGUAGUGUCAAGUGUUGUUGACAUGGUUUUUGUUUGUCGUUGCUAUCCGGAUAAAAUAGAUUUGAUUAAUAAGGACAUACCUAUUCUAUAUUUGGUGAAUGAUAAAAUUGAAUCAACUCGCCGACGCCUACUACUUCAGUGUUUCCAAUCGAGACCAUUUAUUAAACCCACUCUUUUAUAACACAUUAUUAUUUUAUUUUAUUUCCAUGAGAUCCACGCUCUCUCGUCUUUCUCUUCAGGUAAACCCCCUUUUUUAACACAUUAUUUUAUUUUUUUCCUUUUUCUCACUUUUCAUCACUAAAUUCUAUAUUUUAUUUUUACUUUCUCCACUCUUUUUUUCCAAAAACAAACAUAACUUUUUCAUUCAUCAUAACACAUUUUUCAUCCUCUCCAUUCUUUUUAUCACUAUAAUUUUGUAUAUUUGUAUAUAUUUAUAUAAUAUAAGAAUUAAUUAAAUAUUUAUUAACUUUAUUCACAUAAAAAUUAUAAUAAUAGUUUUUUUAUAAAAUGGAGAGAACUUCAUUUGAGAAGGGAUAGAAUGGAAGAAUUUCAUUUGCCACUGCUAAUGAAAAAGUUCAUUUCGUCGACAUCUUUCAUUGUGUUUAUUCCAAAAAAGGAGAGUACGCAAAACUUGCGAGACUUUGAGCAUAUAUCAUUAGUAGGUUGUAUAUUUAAUGUCGUAUCUUAGGUGAUGGCUAAUAGAUUCAAACAUGUGAGAAAUUAGUUAAUUUCGAAAAAACAAACAACUUACUGUUGGUAAACAAGUAUUAUAUUGUUGAUUUUAAAUAAAGUGGUGAAUGGGGUACAAAAUAACAAACGGGAACUUUUGCUAUUUAAAGUUGACUUUUAAGAAGAAAAAAGACAUGAUUCCGUAUAUUGAAAACUAGAGAAGAUGGAUAAACUGAGUAUCUUAAAUUAACAUCUAUUUCCAUUUUAGUUGAUGACAACCUAACUAUCGAAUUCAAGAAUAUUUGUAUAAGAUUAAUUAACAACCAUCGUUAGAUCAAUAUAAAUAUUUGAUAUAAUCAUGUUUAUUUUAAAACUCAUAUAAAACUAAAUUUAUGAAGAAAAAAAAAUAUUUGAUAUAUAUCAUACACGAGAUAAAUGUUUGUCAUUGAAUAAUUAAUUAAAAAAGUAUGAUUUUUUAUAAAUCAAUUCAUUAUAAAAGAGAUGUGUACUUAUUAGUAUUGAGAGAGGAGGAGAGCACAAAUCUAACAUUAGAAAAUAGACUAUAGAUGUGAUAGAAAAUCCUAUAUCUUAUAAAUUAAUUUGGUAAAGAUGAGUUAAACUCAAUUCAAAUUUAUGAUAAGAAGAGAAAAAGAAACUCUGAGAGAGUUUGGAAAAAAAAUAAGUUUGAUAAUUUUUAAAAAUUCUCCAAAGUCUGUCUUGAUGUUGUAAUUUUCAGUUCCACCAAUUAGAAAGUUAACCCUUGUUUCCAAAAUAACCAGCUUUCAUUCCUUUUCAUCCUUUCUCCCAAAAUCCUCUCCCCUUAACACUCAAAAACAACAUAAGCAUCUACUCUACAAGAAAAACUAACAUUACCGAUGGCAAAAAGCCUUUAAAAAUGUAAAAAAGGUCACGUGACACUCGAUUAUUGGUAUAUCAAAAAACUAUUUCUGGCAGCCAUUUUAAAAAGGUCCCUAGUAAUUUUGUGGGAGUUUAUGGUCGUCGACAAGUAUCAAAGGUUUGUGGUCGCCUGAUUGAUUCUAAACUCCUAAUGACCAUGGUCUCUUUCUAUUAGAAUCGCGAGAGUUAAGACAAAAUAACAUAAGUAAAUAUUGUUUUUCAUUUUCAGAAUUCUUUGAAAUGAGGAGAAGGAAUUUCUAUGAAAAAGGAUGAUGUUUAUGAAAUUGUUGAAGAAAAUGACAGACACAAAUAUUCGCAUGACCUACCUUUGUUGUAGAAUUGUACUUCAAUGCACAUUUGUUUUAUUUACUUUUGCCAAAUUGAUUCACAGAAAGUGUUUAUGUUUAUAUAUAUAUGCCCAAGUUGAUGUAUGCUUUUGGGGGUAAAAAUACCUAGAUUUUCAAAUGCCUCUAAUAUUCCAUAUAAAGUUUAUAGUUUACUUUUGCUCUCUCAUUUUUCUUCUCUCCUGUUCUCACUGCAAAUUUAAAUUAAAAUAUAAUUUUAAUAAUUUAUUUGUUGUAAAUAAAGAUUAAUAUACAUUACUUUUACAUAAUUUGUUCUACUUACCAUAAAAUUUUGUACAAAUUAUAUAUAUUAACCAAGUGAUUAGACUAAAUUGAUUAACGAGCUUGAACUAAGAACAAAUUGUUUGGACGCAUGUACCCAUACAUAUACAUAGGGAGAAAAAUAAUAACUUAAACAUUUUAAAUUUAAUAAAAAAAACAAUAUGUGUAUUGCAAAAACUACAAACUAAUGCAGUCACUUAUGGGGGCACAAAAACCCAUUAAACAAAAGGAACAAUGGAUAUGUUUUAUAUCUUCCCACUAAGUCAUCUAAACAAGGACAAAUUGGAAUUUUAAAUAAAAAAAUGUGACAUGCUUUGUUUCUAAUACUUGGGCAUGCUUAUAUUAUAAUUGCAAGAAAACUUAUUCUUCAGCUGUGGCGCUAGCAGCACUCAGAUCAACAGAAAGAUCAAGAACCUGAAAAAACAAAAUUCCAUAUGAUCAACAUCACAUUCUAUAGUCAUUUAGAGAACUAAACAUAUAUCUAUUGUUUAGUUUAUCACUACUUUUGCUUGUUAAUAGUUGUUUCUGAUUUCACAAUGUUCUCAAACUGUUACGCCAUUACUUGUGAUAUAAUAUGUCAUUUCAAUCGGUUUAAUAACUGAAAAUUAGUUGCAUACCUUUCCGGUGAUCUUACUGUACAUCUGAACCACAUCUUUUACUGUGGUUUCAAAGUGUGUGGUAGCAUCAUAGCUCUGCAAGAAUUUAAUUUCAGGUGAGGACAAUUUUCAAAAGAUAAAAAUAAGGUAAGAAAUUUCAUUCUACAUUGGAUAUUUGUCGUAUGAAAUUUCAAGUACCCUUUACAAUGAUUAGGAGAUUUAACAAACAAGAAAAGAAAACAUGUUUAUUAGAGAUUCUACAUAGUACUUACUGUAGAGAUGAAACAACCAUCAGUAGCAUGAUCAUUGGUGGGUUCAAAUCUGUCAUAGAUGUCAUAGAAUAUCUCAUCUACUGGUCCAAGAAGAUCAAUCCCAGGCUUCAACUCCACCUCAGGUUGGUCAGUUUCUGCUUCUGUUGUAACAAAUGCAAUAUAUUUUCCUUUUGGAGCUACAUUGUGAGCAUAAGAGCAGCAGAAAAGAUACCUAAAAUAACCAUGGAAAUCAGUAAAAGUCCAUUCAUUUAAUUUCAUAAUUUGUAAGUAGUUACUUGAAACUGAAGGAACCUAAUUAUAAGUUCAAAGCAAACUUACAUAUCCGAUUUACGACCGAGUUGCUUCUGUGGCAGAAUGACUUGCGCUGAGUGAGAGUCAUUGGUGUCUGGAAUAGGAUGGCUCAUAAUACAUACUGCACGCGCAACUUUUCCAACUUUAUGAACCUGUUGGAUUGAUUAAAUGGUGUGGCAGGUAAAGAUCACGCUUAGUCAUGUUUGGAUAUUAAUGCUAAGUUACAAACUAACAUUUCCAAUAAGUAAAUAAAAGUCUUUUAAUGAGAAACUGACAAUCUCUGUACCCUUAGAAAGCUAGUAGAUAUACCUUAUCAGGCAGAUAUGAUGGAUCACACACGACUUUCUUGCACUUUGCUGUUUCUCCUUCUGAAGUCACACCAAUGGCUUUUCCGUCAUCACCAAACUCUACCUAUGUACCAGAAUCUAACAUGUGAGGACAAAUGGACUGAAAAGGCAUGUAAGUUAAACCUCAAAAUUUAAUUUAAUUCUCUUGAUAAGAUACAAGCUUCUUAACACAGCUUGUAAUAAUUCAACUGAUUUUCCCGAAUAUAGAAGUAGCAUCACAAACUUACCCUGCAUGCUGGCUUGUUCAGCAUGUAAGUUCCACCAUACACAGCACUCAAACGCGCAAAUGCCUUCCAGAAACCAAAGGUAUCGAAGUUAGUUUUGUAAAUAUAUUAAAUUUAAAAGGAAAGAUAGAUAUGGAAAACCUGAGGCAACUCUCCCAGUCCAUAUAGUGGAUAUAUGUAAGGUGAACCUCCUUGAAAGCGUGCGAGCGACUCUGCAUAAGUCUGUACAAAACAAACAGCAUUACAUGCUCUAAUAAAUUUAGCCAUGAAAAAACAUAUGCCAAAUGACUAUAUGGUCAUGAUUCCAAAAACAGCAUUAAAGUUCUAGCACAUGGUAAAAAUCUUUUAACUAUAAUCUAGCUUUCCUUUUAAUAAGGCAUUGUCGAUAUCUUACUUUGCAUUAAGGAUUUGGCUUCUAGCACAAAUCAAUAUCUUAUUUGACACAUCCUUCUGUGGCAACUUUAUCUUUUUUCAUGCAUUAAUAAAGACUAAAGAAGAAAAGUCAUGUAACUUCUAGGAUCUUUAAGCCAUUCAGGAAUAUGAAUCAUGGUAAUAUCAUGAUACAAUUGUGUAUAUCCUUCUCAUUUUUUAGUAUAUCUUUUGGAUGAAAAAUGUAGAGAACAAAAAAUCUGAUUUGUGAUUCUCUGAGUCAUCUAUGUAUCUCUAUGGAAAUUUUCAUAUAUUAAUCCUUAUCUUUGAGUUCUGUACUCAAUCGGUAUAUGAUAAAGAACUGAGAGAGUCUUUCACAUCAUAUCAAUGUUCGAAAGCAUAUAAGGAUAAUUUGCAAAUUAGUACCUUGACUCUGUCCACAAAAUCCUUGGCUGGCUUGUCCAAGUAACUGUCAUCAAGAUGAAGUGCCAAGGCAUGACCAAUAAAGUCAAUUGUAUCAUCUUCCAAUCCAUAUUUCCUGUGUUUGGAGAAAUCAUUAAAAAUGUGGAAAAGUAGAUUGAAUCAAAGUAUUGAAUAUGGUUAGAAUAAUUGAUAUUGAUGGUAAACUAAACUGUCAAAAUGUUAUAGUUUAUGAAGAAAAAAAAUAAAAUCAGUUGUGGUGCUCAUAUUUUCACUUUGAUGAUAAAACUUCAUUUUUUUUUUUUAAACAUUCAUAAUAAAAAAUUCCUUUAACUGUGAUUUGAAUUGUGCUUAUGCUCAUAUCAAGUGAGGAAAAUAUUAUUUAAAGAUAAAAAUUGAAGACAGAUUUAAAGGGAUGUAAAAUCAAGCAAUAAGAAGAAGAUAAAAAGAAAUGAAGUAGAUACAUACGAAAUCAGCUGCCUUGCUGUAACUUGGUUCAAAUCAAGUCCUUCAUGAGAUUUGGGAUCAUUGGCUUCAUAAUCUUGGACAUAAAUGAAGAACUUUCGAGCUCGGCGCUUCUCAAACAAACCCAUUAAAGGUGAUUUCAGUGCUUCAACAUCUGUUGCUGGGACUUUGUAAAUCUGAAAAUACAUGAAGAAAGAUAUUUGAGGUUUCAUGUAAUUUAAAGUUUGUAAGUAAAGAGCUCAAAAGUAAAAUAUAGUGCAUACCUUUCCCUUAUUAUACACAAAGCUUCCAUCUACAGCUUUAAAGUUCAAAUACUUUGUAACAUCUGUGUGGAUGAGCACACGAACCAAAGCUCCAUUUGCCAUCAUAAACUACCAUAAAAACAGAUGAAAAGUUGGUUUUACCAAUAAAUGAAUGACAAUGAAGAAUACAUACGAAAAAAGUAUAGUUCGAAUGAUGGAAAAUCCAAGAAAAAAGCAAGAGUAAAGGCCAUAUAAUGCAUGAAAGAGAACCUGAAGCAAAUGGCAAUGUUUUUUCACAUAGAGAUUGUUUUAGAAAAUCGUUGUAUGCUCAAAUAGAAAGAAACAGAACCUUGUCUACACAUAUAAACACAUGUUUGUUGUCUAACUAAAAUUUAAAAGGUAAAUUUCAAAAAUAAAAAGACAAGAGUAAGGAACCAACAAUAUAGACUUAAAACAUGCAUUGCAUAAAUGUUUCAAUACUUCAUCAGCAAAUGAAAAAAACAAUACAAAUUCUGAUAUGAAAAUUUCUAUUGAUCUACAUGUCAUGAACUAUGAGAACAGGUACCUUAGGUAUCAUAUCAACAUUGUAUUCUCGGCUCGAGCCAAAGUUCUCUGGUGGCUUGUCAUCUCCCCUAUAUUGCUUCCAUAGCUAUAUAACAGAAAAUGAAUUUCGAUAUGAAAAGAGAACUAACAUGAAACAAAAAAAGAGAGAUAUUUUUCAUGCUUUUAUUAAAAAUCUAUAUCAGAGGAGAGUGACCUGUGUAAGAUUAAGAGAUGUAGAAGCUCCUCCAUAGUAGUCAUUUUGAUCCAUGUGCAACACCUGAUUUAGGUGGAUAGGAAUAAAAAAGAAUAAGAAAUAGACAACAUGACCAUGGUCAUGAAGCAUGGAGAUUAUUGAAAAUGGUUAACAUGUGAUACAGCACUCUGAGUCAUUAAACAUCUUUUGCAAUGCAUAAAACAUCAACAAAAACUGUGAAAUUGAACAAGACCUAUUGAUCAAUUAAAAACAUAUUGUUGAGUCUUUAAUGUAUUCAAUAUUAUACUAAAUACAUAAAUAUAGCUUUAAUUUUUAUAUAUUUGAUCUGUUCAAUAACAACUUUAUUUUUGACGAAAAUAUGAUGUUUACCAAGAGUUGUAAUACGAAAUAACUAUAACAAGAUUUAAUUAUGUAAUAGGUAGAUCUUUCUCCUUAUGUGUGUAUAGAUCAACUACCAUGUAGCAAUUGGCAUGUUUAGAUAUAUAUUCUUAAUUGACAAUAUGAAUGAAAAUCUCACUAGGUACAAUUAGUUACUUGAUCAAUAACUUCAAUGAAUUUAAAUAAAAAACUUUGCUUAUGUUGAACAAAUUAUAGGCGUAUUUGGUAGCCAACAGAUGUUGGUGUCCAAUAUGUACACGGCAUUAACUGAUGCAUGUGGUUAUAUUCGAUCACUAUUAUUUUCUCAAAUUAUUAUUAGUAUCUACAUAUACGUGAGAGUGUCAUAGGUGAUCAAUCUAACAUUACUUGUUUCACAAUCAAAUACUAAAAAAACAAUAAAGAAAGAAUGAAAGAAUGAAAUGAAUUACUUUGAGGCCAUCAACUGAGAGAAGACCACUGAGGAUGCAUUCCUUGAGGCCAGUGCCAAGGACAAUUACAUCGUACUCUUCAUCCAUGGUAAGAUUGAGAUUGAAAGAAAAAAAAAGAAGCAAGAGAGAUUGAAAUACAAUGAAGAGACAGAGAUUAAAGAAAGAGAGAAUUUGAGGAGAGAAAUAAGGAAGGAAUGUGUGUUAUGUUUGAGAGAGAGAGAGAUUUGAAGCUGAACACGUCUUUAGCGCCAAAGUAACGAGACUAACGCUCCCCAAAAUAACUCAUCUCACAAUGCUUACACGUCUCUACUCUUUUUAAGGACCAUUGUUUUUUAUAAUAAAUAAAAACCAAAAUUAUUACUAUCUACUUAUUUAAAAGAAAGUAAUAUUGUACCAAAUAACACUGUUAAUAUUAUUACUCAGAUAUAAUAAACAUUUUUACCUUUUCUAAAAAGGUAAACUUGCAUUUAUAUUUUCUCUUUUUUAAAAUAGAUACCGGUUUAAAAAAUUAAAAGUUUUUAAAUCAUCAUUUUUUUAACUUUUGGAUUCGUUGUCUAGGAAAAAUGAAUAGAAUUCCAUAUUAUUUUUUGGAAGGGCUUCCAUAUUUAUAGAAUUGCAUAUUAUUCCUUUAAAUAAAUAAUUCCAUAUUAUUUUCUUAUUUAACUUAUAAGAAAAGACUUUUUGUGAUUUUUUAUUUCCAAAAAAGAAUUUAACUUAUGUUAUCCAUAGCUAAAUAUAAUGGAAACUUCAAAUGUAACUAUCAGUCACUAUUAGUUUUGGUUGAAAAUUUUCUUUACAAAUUUGUUGUUUUUAAUUAAACAUUUUUUUCUAAAUUUAAGUUGGAAUUUAAAAACAUACAAAAUGAAUAUUGAAACUGAAAUCCAGAUAAUAUGAUCUAUCAAACUAAAAUAAAUGAAUUAAAUUGAAAUAAAUAUAUACAACAAAUGAUUUGAUAAUAUACAUGUAUUAAAUAAUGAAUAUUGAAAUAGUUUGUUUAAAUUGACAAUGGGUUGGUAUCGAAAAUUCAACCUUACGCUAAAGUUUCUUUGGUUCAAGUUUAGAAUUUGUAUCGGCGUGUUACAUAUAAAUUUUUGGACUUAAUUUUUGCUCAUCGACCGUACACUUAAGUUUGUUGAACUCAAGUUCAAAAUUUUCUCAUCAACAUGUUAUAUAUAAGUUUUAUUGUAAAUCAUCGUUGAACUUUGUAGUUUUCUUUAAGUAUAACUGUCUGAUUUAAAUUUAAGUUUGACCUUCGCUUAAAUUUGUUGGACUCAAGUUCAAAAUUCUCUGGUCAAUAUUUUAUAUAUAAAUUUUAUUGUAAAUUAUUGUUGAAGUUUGUAGUUUUCUUUAUGUAUAUCUUCUUGAUUUGAAUUUUAUGUAAUAAAAAUGAAUAGUGUGUUUGAACUUCUUGAAGAGGUGAAGUAAUAUGAGACUAAUAUGCCUUGAACCAAUAUGAGGCCCAAUUUCAUCCCCGACUCAUCUAACUCUCAAUUUUUUUGACUUUUUACCGAAUUAUAAUUUCUGAUAGUGUAAAAUACACUACCAAAUUGUGGAUGAUGGAAAACAAAAUCAGAAAAGGGAUGAACAUUCACUUUCAUCCCCUUUGGUUGAGCCUUUUGGAUCAUAUUAGAACAGCUAUCUUCAACUUCUUUAAUUUCCGGAAAUUUUUGUAACUUAUUUUCUAUUCCAAAAAUUUCAAAGAAUUGGAGAGAAAAUGUCAGGAAUAUUUGACGGUAAUGGGAGCAAAAUGGAAUUUAAAUAAAUUGUUGGGGGUACGAGGAUUGAGAACCAACGGUAGGGGUAUAGAAUAAAAUUUUCCACAAUGUAUAUUCUUUUAGACCACUUUUGUGAGCUUAUAUAUAAUAUAGAUGAAAUUUAGUUAUUUCGCGAGUUGAAAUUUGAUCUCGUACUGAUAAGAUGAAACUCUACUAUGAUAAUCAAGUUUCUCUUCACAUCGUGUCAAACAUAGAAAUUAAUUGUCACUUUAUCCAAUAAAAACUUCGCUAUAAGGAAAUGGCCAUUGAAUUUGUAAGCUCUUGUGAUCAGCUUACAUACAGGUAUUCUCAAAGUUUCUCUGAGCUCCUCAAAUUCCGUUUUAACAAGUUUGGUACAUAUUACAUGCACUAACUUAAGGGGAUUUUUUUAAAAACUAUAUCCUAUUCAGAGAGAAUAUAAUCCAUUCAAUUUUAUAUUUUUUUUUCUGUAUAAUUGAUAUAUAGUUUGUUUCCUUAUUUAUGUAGUUUCCAAUAUUAAAUUAUGAAUCUUGUGUAUACAUAAUAUAUAAUUGAUUGUGCAAAGGGAUUCCUGAGCAGAUCUACAACCGAAUGAAUUCAAAUUGAGUCAAUAAUACAACAGUUUCAACUUUCACCUUCACAGAAGCACAUGCAAUGGUGCAUUCUGCACAGUGCCUCAUUAAACAAUGCUAUUCAUAUAUUACAAUUACAUGUGCACCAAUUGCUAAUAGAACUAAGGUAGCAUUGAAAAAAAGUAACUUUUCACUUAUGACUUAUCAUGGUUUUAUGGAAUACAAUAAUAAAUUGAAGAGAGCAAGAGAGACGGGUUUCUGGUCCUUAGCUUCCUAGCUUGAAAGCAUCUACAAAGAGGCCCAAACAUAUGCCUGCUUUCCAGUAGUUCACCAUCACUAGAAAAGAUUGCAACCUCCCAGUCCUCAUAGUAGGUGGUUUUUUAUAUAUUAGCAUACCAAUCCCCUCAAUUGCAGCCACUACAACACCAGCAACCAGAACAUCCCAAUCACCUGUUUGACCAAGGAUUGUGGCUAGUGCAUUUGCCGUGUAGAAACCCAAAAGUAGCAGGAAUAUUUUCAUAGGGAAGUUCUUUCUAGCUGAAUUCAGCUUUUCUAGAAGUUGUCUUCCACCUGCACUCAGUAUCCUACCUAAUCGAGUGCCGCCAAAGCUGGAACCGGAAUCAUUGAAGCUUUGUUGCUCACCAUUACCAGACACUCCGCCUGUGUUUGUGUUCAAGGCCAAAACUACUUUCCACCCAGCUUUUCUUCCCAGGAAACUGAACCAACGUAUCGAAAACCAUUAAACCAAAUGUUAUUGCGUGAUUAUAUUUAUGGUAUGGAAAAACCAUUUUUUAGCUUGGUAGUAGGGUAAGAAAUACUAAAAAUCCUAUCAAUUAAAACAAUGCCAUCAAUUAGACUUAUGACAUUCUUGUUUUAGCAGCUCUCAUCAUUUGACCAACUCUUUUAACAAGCCAUUUAAAUUCUAAAUCCUUUUAACUGCUCAGAGUUCUUUCCUAAUCUUCCUCUCUACCUCUAAUUAUUAAACUAUCCUUCAUUUGAUCAACUCUUUUAACAGGGCUUCUACCAUCUACCCCUCAAAGGAUUAUAUAACGCAAAUAAUUAUUAUAUAACAAAAAAGUCACCUUGAUUUUGAAGCGAGGGAAAAAAGCAAAUGUUAAAAGUUCAAUUACCGGCUCUGAGAAAAAGGUAAAGACUUCAUGCCAACAUUUGGAGUUAGUCUGCCAAAACUUGGCUCACAACAGUUGGGGAUUCUAUAAUUUGCAAGGGCUACAAAUGAUCUUUUGGAGCUUUCGUUCUCUGUAAUUGAUAGUCUCCACUGCAGAUUCAAAGAUCCCAUUUGACAAGCCAUGUAUUCUGAACAGUAAUCUUUAACCAAUUGUACAAGUCUUCAAUUUGUUUAUAGUGUUAUCCGGCUCCUAAUCUGCAUAAGUUCUAAGUCUUUAAAAGCUAAUGAAGAGUUUAACUGAAUGCGUCAUUCACUAAUGACUAAACUACAAAUCAACAUGAGUAAAAUUUUAAACUAGAAUAUACUGGGUGCAUUUUAUUGCAUAAUGUAAAAGGGGGUUGUAAUUGCCAGUCAACAACAAACAAAGCCAUGUCCGGUCUGCAUCUUUGAAUUGAUCGCAAAUUACAUAAGAAACAUGAUAUAUUUUAUUAUUCUAUAUAAUGCAAAAUCAGUACAUUAGCAUUAUAUUCUCUUUAAUGGACUGUCUGAACUCUUCACCGUAGAAAACUUUAGUGGUAUUGUAUAAUUCAUGUAACCAAUCUCACCUAGCGGAAAAAUGCUUUGACUGUUGUUAUUGUAAUAGUAUUCAUAAAAGUUACCAAUUUGCAUAGUAGUCUAGUACAUGACACGAACCAAAUAGAGAAAACAAAAAUGAAAUAAAGUCAAAGUAAAUGACUUGUAUAUCAUCCUAAUUUUUUUAUAAAAAAAAAAAUUGUGUCUUCUACAAAGCCACUUGAGAUAAUUAAAAAUUGAUAGAUCUUUUAAACUAGUUUCAAACAAGUCCUAUAAUAACUAUCAUAAUUUACUUUACCUUAACAGCUGCCAAAUUUGGGGGAAUAACUUUUCUAGGUUUCUAUACUUCAAAAGUUUAUGGCCGGCCACCUAGCUAGGGAACUGUAUUGUGAUUUGUGAAAGUCUUAGAUUAGUAGUAAUGUACUAUGACUAGGGGAUUAUAAGGAAUCAUGUUUAUAGGUGGUAAGGUUUUAAUUUGCUAUAUCAAUUUGCAGCUGGAUGCUACAAUGGAGCACCACCUCUAUAGGUGGUGCACGUAGACCGGUGCUUAAAAGCUACUCGAAACACUAACGAAGAUCGACGGCAUUCAUUGGAAGUAUAAGUUAUCGGUUUUCUUGAUUUUUACGGCUGAGACAAUAAUUUGAUCAACGUCAGUUCGAUAAAAUAAGGAAAAAUGAAUGCAUUCCUUAAAACUCAAGUCGUCUCAAAUCGACACUAACCAAAUCACCGUCUUAGCUAUAAAGACAGGGAGAGUCCUUAAAUACACUUACGAAUAAUGUUAUUGAUCAUUAGAAUUUUGGAUGACUUUUAAACACUAGUCUAGAAUUAAUGUUCUAAACUUCUGAUUACUAAAAUUUCUAAACUUAGUUAUGGCUAGGCCACAAAGUCCAGCACUAUAGCUAGAAUCUAGAUAAUCUUAUGAAAACAGUUUCGAGAUAAGCCAAAAAACAGCGAACACAACACAAGCAGUUCACGAGACGCUGUUGUAGAGCGAUUACAAACGCAAUUAUUUAUUUGAAAACAUAAUUAUCACAUAAGAGCUUUUAGAAACUAAUAAAUUGAAAAUCUUAAUGAGGCAACACGUUGAAAAAAUUAUGGCCUAAUCGAGAAUUUGUAGAAUGCUACUAAAAUUCAAAGCGCUUAUUACAUGUAAUGAUGGAACCAAAUUUAGGGGCAUUGAAAACAAAUAUUCUGAAGAAGUGAGAGAAUGAUACCUAUGUCUUGGUCAAAAGAAGACGAUUAAAACCGGUGACCGGAAACGGAAACGGAAAAAGGAAGAAGACCAUAGCCUGCGGAUGAUCCCUAUUGUAUCGCCUGUGAUGAUACCGUCUAUUCGGAUCGGCCCAGUUUCCUUCGAACCGGUCAGAUUGGGUCGGGUAAACUCUAAAUUAACUAUUUAGUUUAUGAAAAUCGUUUAGUUUUUCUUUUUCUUAUAUUUAUGGAAAUGAUAUUUUUUUCCUUUUUACUAUGACAAAAUUAUUUUUUUGUUAUAUAUUUCCCUGGAAAAAAUAUUAUGUCUCUAACAUAUAAUUUUUCUUUUUUCUUUAUUUUGGUUAUGACGUAAUUAUUUAAUGUUAUUCGUAGGUGUAUUAUAUUUGAAGUUUAAAAAGAAAUUACUUUAUAGCAAACAUAAUGACGCAUUAUAGAAGAGGGAAGUUUAUUUUCUUUAUAAUUUAAAAUUUUCUUAAACUCAGAUAACGCCACAAAGUAAUAGGGGACAAUUCGUAGAUAUAUUAGUGCUUUAAUAAUUUAUUCAAAUUAUUUUUAUAUUAUUAUAAUAUGUUAAAAAUUAAAAAUACUUUAAUUAUGAAUAUAUUUUUAUUAUUAUUUAUAAAAUCACUUUCUCAUAUAUUUCUUACAAUAUUAUAAAAUAUUUUUUAUAAUUAAAAGAUCACAUUAACACGUGUUAUAAGGCACAUAUUGAUAAUAUCAAAAAUAUAAUUUUUUUAUUAAAAAAUAAUAUUUAAACUUUUAAAUAAUUUAAAACACAUAUUCUAAUAUAAAUUUUUUUUAUAUUUAAACAAUUAACACGUGUCUUCAAAUCAAUUUGUUUGAAUUAUAAAAAGAAAAAUAAAAAUGUAAUUUAUUGAAAAAUAAAUUAGUUUGAGACAUUUUGUGUUUUAGGGAUUAAAUUAUUUUUUAAUUAUUAACAAAUAUUUAAUUAUCGUUUUUCUUUUUUACAAGGAUUCAAAUAAAGAAUAAAUUGUCUUAAUUUUAUUUUGUAAGUUACUAAAUUUUAUUUUUAUUUUUCACAUACCAACAAAAAUUAAAAUUGAUUUUCACUUUUUUUUUUAUUUGAAAUAUUUAUUCUUUUUUUUAUUCUAGAUAAGAUAAUAUAAUUAUCACCGAUCUAAUAAUAUUAAUAUUUUUCAGUCGAACUAAUACUUAAAAAUAUUUAAGAUAUUUAUUCUAUUAAAUGAUAAAAGGAUCAAAAGUGAAUUAAUUAUGUUGCAAUCUCGUAAUUUUUAAUUUUUUAUUGAAAAUUAUUUUUGAACAUCUAUCUAUUUUAUAUAUAAUUUAUAAUUUAAGAGAAAAAUAAAUAAAGAGAUGAUGUGAUGCAAAAAUAGAUAUAGAGAAAAUGAAGUCUUAAAAAGAAAUAAAAAAAUUUGGGUCCACAAAAUAUCAUUUAUGUUUUGUUUUUAUUGGGUGCAUCGCAAGAAACUAAGAACCAACGAUACAUGAUCCAAGUAUUGAGAGAAAAAUGGAGGAUGUGGAGAAGGUGAAGGCGGAGGCAGUGCAAAUGAUGGGAGUGUUUCACGUACUACCUAGGCUCGUAGUUUUCGAUCUCGAUUAUACUCUUUGGCCUUUCUACUGGUAGGUACAUCCUUCUACUAGUAGUACUAUAUCUUCUUUCUCCUUUUAAUACUAUUCUCAACUACUUUCAGUGAGUGUCGCUCUAAGCGUGACACACCUUCUCUCUACCCCCACUCCAGAGGCAUCUUGAGCGCACUCAGAGAUAAGGGAAUUGAUGCUGCCAUUGCUUCUAAAUCACCAACCCCCGACAUAGCAACCGUUUUUCUUCAGAAGCUCCGUAUCACCUCAAUGUUUGUUGCCCGGUUUACUCAAUUACAUUUUAUUAACCAUCAAAUUAUCAAAAUUAAGGUGUAUUAUAUCACUUUUUAGUUAAGUGUUGCUAUAAUUUCAGUUUUCACUUGUUAGUGUUAGGCCAUAUUUAAAUGUUUUUUUUUAUUGUUCAGGAAAUAUUUUACACCUGGACACCCAAAACAGAACAUUUUCAGAAAAUUCAUUCAAGGACCGGGGUUCCCUAUAACUCUAUGCUCUUUUUCGACGAUGAUAACAAUAACAUCAAAGGGGUAUAUAUAUCUAUCUUUAUUUAAGUUAUUAAUUAAAUUGUUUUCAUAAUUAAACCACAUUUUCAACUCACAUAAUUUAAUUGUUUUAAUAUAUCGUAUAGAACUGUCAGUUUGUAGUUUGUCAUAUACAUGUAACAUGAAAAUCAUUUGUUGUGGCAAUGACAGGUUUCAAAAUUGGGAGUGACAAGUAUUUUGGUUAAUAAUGGUGUAAAUCUUGGAGCAUUUAGAGAAGGCCUCACUAAAUUUUCUCAAAACAAGCAGAAAAAGCGUAAGUAAACUUCUCAUGAGGCUAUUCAAUUCCCACCAUGGUGCUUGAGAUUGGAGGUCCAAAUGAAGUGCAUUUAUUCAGAACCUCAUCAAUAUUAAUGAUGAUUUGAAAUAUAUAUGUCUAUUAUUCCCAAGGGGGAAAAUAAUGUACAUGUAUACCUUAGAGAAUUUUUAAUACGAACGUAUUGUAAGAAUCUCUAUCAUCCACGGACCAAAAGUAAUUUCUUUAUAUAUUGUAUUAGUAUACUCUUGUUAUAUGUGUCUCAUUAAACGUGUGAAAUUAACGAUGUGGUUGAUAGUAGAGGUUUUAUUAAAAGUGGUGACUCAGCCUCUAUAACGGAAAUUAUUGAGAUGUGAGUUUUUUUAGUAGGUGCAUGUGCUUGUGUUUUUUAAGCCGCUAAAGUUUUCUAAAUCGGAACUUUCAAUGUUUUAAACCACAUUGAAAAUUAAGAGUGUUAUCAUAUUAAUAUUUGACAAAGUCAAAAACUCAACUGUAUCCUCUAUUCAUCAACCCGUUUUUAGUUUUUGACGUUUAGUGAGAGUGUAUAAAAUGAGAGUUAAACUAAAUUUUUCUUUAAUAAAAUUAAAAAUAAAAAAUCAUAAUUUUUUUAAAACCCUUCGAGCAACCAAAGUUGUGAAUAGGUAAUAUGGUCUCACAAUUGUUAUGCACUAUUAGUGGUCAUAAUUUUCUUUGCUGAGUGAUAUUUGAUAAUUGUAAGAGAAUCUACAAUAAAAAAAAAAACACGGGAACGGAUAGCUCCGGUGGUUUUUUCUUUUGCAAUUCUUUAAAAAAAAUAACAAUGUAAUAAUAAAAAAUAACAAUAAACAACUUUUAAAAUGUUUUCAAAAGCUUAUAAUCCUUUCGAAGAAUAUUCUGAAUUUUUUUCAUAAACUACAAAUUCAAAUUUGUUACGCAUUAAACUACGAAUUUAAAUGUUGACUUUAAUUAGGCUUGAUGUAUAUAAUCGAAUAUAUGAACAAAAAGCAAUUUGGUUUAAAAAUUGGUUCCGAUAUGACACAUGCAAUAAUGGAAAAGGAAUUAAUGACAUUUAAAGUCAGAUAUUACUUUUAAAGGUAUAAUAUUAGAUGAUGAAUAGUAUUUCCUCCUUUCUAAAUUAUAAGAAAAUAUAUAUUGUAUUUUAUUAAAUUACAUUGUAUAUAGUAUUUAAAUUUUAUAUUAAAUGACAAAUAUUAAUACGAGUACUUUUUAUUUUAAAUUUAAAUUCAAUAAUCUACAAUUAUGUGAAUUAUUUAUGAUAAAAAAAUUAUAUUAUAUAAAAUUUAUUGAGUUUGUAUUUUUUAUGAUAAGAACAAAAGUCAUAUUUAUUUUGUUUUGAUUUUCAACUAUUCAAUUUGUUUUGUACUCAUUAUAGUUAGGUGAGUUGGAAUUUUUUAACUAAAUAUAGCAGAUUAGCGGACGACUCAUAAGUCAUUCCUAACUUCUUUUUCUUUCUCCUUCCUUUCUUCAAAAGGCUGCUUUAAGAUUUUUUAUUUUAUUUUUAUUUAAAUAAGUGAUUAUAUAUAUAUAUAUAUAUAUAAUUUUUUUUUGUAUUUGUAUCUUUCACUGUAGCGUUGUUUUGAUUCAUCGCGUUGGUGUGGUGUUCGUUUAUUUCAGAUUGUCUAAUCAACUUCGAUAUAGUGAUUAAUAAUUUUGAUAUAUUCGACGUUACAAUUCCAAAUACAUUAUUAAAAUUCUCAAUGUUUUAAUUAUGUUAUUAAGUAGAAUCUUUGUGAGUUUAUUAGUAGAAUCUUCAUUUUUAAUUUUAGUUAUUUUAAAUCAUAUUAUUCUUAAUCGAUAUAAUCUUUACUAAUUUUAAUGAAUUAAUAGUUAUUUUUAGUAAAAAAAUAUUCAAUUUAUUACAUUAAAUAUCAUUAUGAAGGAUAAUUAGAAAAUACAGUUUAAAAAAAUAGAACACUAAUUAAUUUUUCUAAUAAGUGUGAAUUGAUUUUUUUUUUCCGUAUAACUUAAGAUGGAUGAAGUAUAUAACAAAAAAACUUAAAAAUUUGUUUGGGAGUUUGGAGAAAAAUGACUUUAGAGAGAGGAUAAAAUAGUGAAAUAAAUAUAAUUUUUUUAUCUUUAAAAAAAAAGUGAUUUUGUAGAGAGUAGUAAAAGAAUAUUUAUGAUUAAUAUAUUUUUAAUUUAUAAAUUAUUAUAACAACAUAUAAAUAAUUUGAAGAAUUUGUGUAAAUCUUCCAAAGCACUCAUCCAAUAUUAUUUUUAAAUUCAAAAAUAAGAAGAUUUUGUAUUAUAAAUAAAAACAAAUUGCUUAAAGUUCUCUUCUCCCUAAACUCUUCAAUUUUUUCUUCAAUUUUUUCCUUCAUUUUUUUAAAGUCUCCCCUCCAUUCUCUUAUAAAGUCGCAAACAAAAGCUGAAUGAAAUACUUUAUAGUGUAGAUUUAAACUAUCCUGUAUAGAUAACUUAAAAUAACAUUUCAACUAAAAAAACUUUUAAAUAUUUAGCAAAAAAAAUACAAGUAGUGAGAGAAAACACUAAACAUAUAAAUAGUUAUUACUCUAAUCAAAAUGUAUAAACUUUAACCUGUAUUAGAAAAUGAGAUUAAUUUUGGUUUAUCAUGUUGUUAAACUUUCUUCUGGAUUAUAAAUCAAUCACAAAUCACCUUCUAUAAAAAAUUUAAUAUAAAUAAAUAUAAUUUAAAUUAAAUAUUGUAUUGAUCAAAUAAUUGUAAUUGGUGGAUGAUAUAUAAUAUAGUAUAAUUAACUUAUUUAAACUUUUUAUUAUGAAAAUAAAAAUGUUUCCAAUAUAGUUUAUUAUAAGUCAAAACAACACGCACGAUGUGAUAACAAAACAAUGAAAUAAUUGUUAUUUGAAUAUCAAAUAUACAAAUACCAUGUAUGAUCUGGUACAUAUUUAUCUCUAUAUCUCCAUUGUUUUUUAUUUUCUACAACUUUCACAUUGAUACAAUUAAAAAUACAAUACAAUACAAAUAAAACCCAAAUAAAAAUACCAUAUUUAAUAUCAAAAUUUUAAAAGUACCAUAGUUAAUAUCCAAAUUUUAAUGUUAAAAAUAUAAUAUACUUUUUGUCACAGUAAAAUAGAUUUACGUGCAAAGAAAAUAAAAUAAGAUUUAAUCGAUCAUAAUUAGAGAUGUGUAAAAUUAGAUCUGAACUAUUAAUCAUUUUUUAUAUUUAAAGUUUGGAUCUCAUCUUAUUCGAAUUUAAAAGAAAAAAGAAACAAAAAGUGAUAAUUAAACAAUAAUCAAAUUGAAGUAAGAAUUAAAUUAUAGAUGACUUUCAUAUUAAAAAUCUCAUCUCAAAAUUUAGAAGACACACAAUGUUAAUUUUUAACUUAUUAAUUUUAAAUUUUCACUUACAAAUUUACUCUCGUUAUCUUAAAAAAUAAUAAUUUACAACAUUGAAUUUUCCAAAUACUCACGCUUAUAAUUUCACAAUGAAGUGUACAAUUUCUACCACUUUAUUUUUAUAUUUAAAGUAAUUGGAAAAGAUUAAAAAAAUAUGUUUUUUUUUCUUCCAGAAAAUUCAAUUUUUAAAUCUUUAAAUCAACUUUUUGUUCUUCUGCAUUUCAUAUUUUAAAAUGUGGCAUUGGACGUAAGUGUUAGCAUUUUCCAAUAAUUGAUCUUCUCUAUUUGACAUAAGAAGGUUGUUUCACGGAGCGAAGAAGAGUAUUCCAUUCCAAGUGGUACUCUGGUCGUAGAGAUGGAUAAGUCCCAAAACGGAGAAGAUAAUCAACAACUCAACCUCUCUGCUAAUGCUUCUAUUUGUGGUUACGACUCCCUUCACCGUCUUCUAAAGGAUAAUCUCAAACCUCAUCACUUCCAGGUCACUCACCACUACUCUCAAUCCAAUUAUUAAUAAUAUACUCCAAUUUCAUAUAUGGAUUUAUGGUAUUUCUACUAUUUUCAAGGGAUCUACUUGCAUGCUCACUUGAUCUCCAUAAACUAUUUUUAGCUAAUUUUCUUAAGAAAACAAUUUGACUUUAUUUUAUGUUGUGUUGUAUAAAUAGUUUAUACAUAAGCACUCAUAUGAUAAGUGCUUAAUUAAGUUGUUUAUCCAAUUUGGUUGUUUCAUCUUUCUUUACAAAUCUAGCUUCCUUGAUACAUAUGUUUUCUAAAAUUUUGUUUAAUGCAUUGGUGCUUGCAUCAAUUAUAUAUUUUCUUAUUGCUUGCUAUGUAAUUACCGUGUUGCAGGAAGUCAAUCGUUUGCUUACUGGGCUUAAUUGUGGAAAAGUACUUGAAACAAUUGCUCUCCCAGAAUCUGUUACUACUCUCUCUGUGGAUCAUGGUUUUGAUGUCCAGGUAUGAAUACAAUUCACUUUUUCUCAAAUCAUGUCACAAGAUGAAAGGUAUGCUGGAUUAAUUUGCCUGUAUUGAUUCCUUAAAAUGACUGAGUAUAUUGUGGAUUUCUCUGUUUUUUUGUGAUAUGGAAAUUAGGAAAAAUUUGCUUUUAAAACAAUUGUAUUGAUAAUUUGCGAAUAUCUGCUGUUUCUUUUUAAGCCAUGGAUUUUAUGUUUCUUCUGCUAAAACAUUCACCACACGAAUCUCGCCUUUCUUAAUUUGUUUUGAAUGUUCAACAGGAAGUGAAAUCACUUGGUAUAAGCUAGAUAGUUGCUUUUAUAUGUAUUUAUAUUCAAGCAAAGUUCAAACUCUCUGGUUUGGGUUGACAGGACCGAAAAAUGGUUGGAAUGGGUAUAAGGAUUAUUAUAGAAAAAUAUCAAAACUAAAAUCAUAUUUUUACUUCUCUUUAUCUUAUUUUCACUCUUUNNNNNNNNNNNCUCUUUCCUAGCUAUGGGAGCAGUUAAUCUUUCUUGUUAUUGUUUGGUUGUUGACUUGUUGUCUGUUAAAUUUUUGUUGGAAUCUAUUAGCUCUUAUUGGUUAUGAGAUGGCACAACAACUUUUUUCCUCAGCAUUGAAACUUAUCUGUCGUUUAAGCUAUAAUUUCUGGUUGGUCUCGUGUGAUUAUAAUUUUUUCUCUUUCAGGCUUUCUGCUUUCAUGCUGAAAAAGAACUAUUAAGGGAACCUCGAGUUGUGAGGGUUGGUUUGAUUCAGAAUUCUAUUUCCCUCCCAACAACUGCUCACUUUGCGGAACAAAAAAAGGCUAUCUUUGAGAAACUAAAGCCAAUCAUUGACGCUGCUGGUUCAUCAGGGGUCAACAUAUUAUGCUUACAAGUAGGUUGCAUGCAUAUGAGCACUUGUCAAUCGAUUUCUUAUUUCCAUUAGAUUUUUUUUUUUUAAUAUAUAUAUACUUCCUUUGCAGGAAGCAUGGAUGAUGCCAUUUGGCUUUUGUACACGAGAAAAGAAGUGGUGUGAAUUUGCAGAACCUGCCGAUGGGGAAUCAACGAGAUUUUUGCAAAGCUUUGCGUUAAAGUAUAACAUGGUGAUCAUAAGCCCAAUUCUUGAGAGGGAUAUUAACCACGGAGAGGUUAUUUGGAACACUGCCGUUGUGAUUGGGAAUCACGGCAAUAUAAUUGGAAAACACAGGAAGGUAAGUUGCCUGAACUUUCUACUUCUUCUUCUAAUGCUAAUUUAGAAACACCUCUUUCAGCUAUCUAAUGAACACACAACAUUUGACAGAACCAUAUACCAAGAGUUGGGGACUUCAAUGAAAGCACAUAUUAUAUGGAAGGAAACACGGGUCAUCCUGUAUUUGAAACAGCAUUUGGAAAGAUUGCCAUUAAUAUAUGUUAUGGUAGGCACCAUCCUUUGAAUUGGUUAACUUUUGGCUUGAACGGUGCAGAAAUUGUUUUCAACCCUUCUGCUACUGUUGGUGAACUCAGCGAACCAAUGUGGCCAGUAGAGGUUGGUUUUUUUCUUAAUGUUUAUAAUAUUUGAUGCUAAUAACUAUAGGUCGAAUUUUAGCAGGAAAUUAGUUCAUAAAUGACUAAACAAUAAGAAAAUUGGCAUGCAUCAAUCUUCCGAUUUAUCCUGUAUAGUACCGACUAAUUUUAUACGUGUAAACAACCAGAUUUUACACUGUAGGACAUCUGCAUAAUCAUAUAUGGCUUAACAGUGUUACUGUUUUUCAGGCACGUAACGCUGCAAUAGCAAAUAGUUACUUUGUUGCAUCAAUUAAUCGGGUCGGGACUGAGAUUUUCCCCAAUCCAUUUACUUCUGGUGAUGGCAAGCCAGCACAUGCAGAUUUUGGACAUUUUUAUGGGUCAAGUUAUAUUUCAGCACCAGAUGCAUCCUGCACACCGUCUUUAUCACGUAACAGGGAUGGCUUAUUAAUAACAGACAUGGACCUUAACUUGUGUAGGCAGUACAAAGACAAGUGGUGUUUCAGAAUGACUGCACGAUAUGAGAUGUAUGCGGAGACGCUUGCUCAGUAUGUGAAACCAGAAUUUGAGCCUCAAGUCAUCAGCGACCCUUUGCUUCAUAAGAGAUCCUCAUGACCUGUGCUAUAAAGUAUUGAUAUGUCUUCACUGCAUUCGUUCCAAACUGUUCUAUCUCAAAUAAAGUUUCAAUAUUCUGAUUGAUGAAUUAAAAUUCAGCUCUCAGUAGACUAUCAAGAACAGGGUUCAUAUAUAUAUAAAUAAAAUGAAUCUGAAAUGAUUUUCCUUUGUUUUAAUUAUUAACGCGUGUUCAUCUUCAUUGUAGCAUUUCAUAUUUCAUUAUAUAUUCAUCUUCACUGCACAUUGAAAGANNNNNNNNNNNNNNNNNNNUACUCGGAAUUCCACAUUCCCUUAAUUAUGCCUACAAUUGCUAGCCCUUUGAUCAAUAUUCAUAGCUGGCUACAAGAGAGCUACUUUUAUCCUCCCUAUCCUCGUCUGGAAGUAUACGUCUAGAGGGCAAAACAAGUGUGUUUUUGUCUAGUAGUAUCAUCUGGAUGGCAAAAAAACAAUUUUUUUUCUUCUGAAUGUAUACUUCUCAUAUGCAUGUGGGGGUGAAAAAAGAAACUUCCUGCUUCAAUCAUAGUGAUCAUGUGUUUUUUUUCAUGAUGGCGACGAAUGAUUCGAAUGUUAGUCAUGUUACACGUUCUAAUUAAAGACAAAAUUGAAAAUUUUAUUAAAAUAAUAAUACAAAAUUUAAAAUUUAUUUUUCAUAACAAAUUUAAAUUAUUUAUAGAUCUAAAUGAAAAAACAUAAAAUAAUGACAUAUUAAAAAAUUAACUGAGUUUAAUUUUUUGUGUAACAACUAUGUUUUAUAAAUAUGUCUAAUUAUAUUGUAUUGAGUGAAUCAUCAUUUGAAAUGAUAAAUUAAUCUUUAAAAUUGAAGAUAUAUCGUCAUCUAAUAAUGUCAAAAUUGUUGAGAUAUUGUUUUGUUGGAGUGCGUUUUUAUAAAUCUCUUUAAAAAAAAUUUAUUGUUCUCAAUUUUGCAAUUUAAAUUUAUUAGAAUUGAUUCACGACUUCAUUGUUAUAAAUUAGUUUUUCAUUUCAUUAAUUUGAUAAUAAAAUAUCAAAUUUCUAUUAUUUUAAGGAUUAAGAUGAUGAUUCAUGUUAUUAUAUCAUUUUGCACAUUAUAAUAACUAUUUUUCUUCUAACAAAAAUUAAAGAUGAAUAGAUAAUACUUUAAGUAGAAAAUACUUUAUAACUGAUUGAACACUAUCACAUAUUGAUGACUUUAUAGUUCAUUAUUUUUUUCCAUAUUCAAUCACAAAACAGUGAUGGAUAAUUUACACUAACAGAAUAUAUAAAUAAAAUCCAAAGCUAAUUAAGUUCAACAAAAUCAUCUUACAUUGUAAAAAAGAAUAAGAAAAUAGUUAUACAUUUGAAUUCUUUAUAUACAUCAAAACUAAAGAUACAAUUUCAUACUAGAAAUUAGAAUGUAAUUACAAUUUUAAAAUGAAUUCCAAAUGAUUCAAAUUAAUUGAUAUAAUAUAUUUUGUAUGGAAAACAAAUUAAGUUAUUUUAUUAACAAUCAAAUCAAUACAACUGAUGUCGCUGUCGUAAUGUAUCCACCUCUAAUAUGUUGGCAUGUUCAUGCGAUUCUCCCGUAGACUUCACUGAUGAGUUAAAAAAAAAAUGAGAAAAUGAAAAAAAACAAAAGACUCCUACAACUUUAAAUAUUAGGAAUUGAUAUGAUAAUUACUCCGCGCAUAAUUUGCAUGCGUGUGUUUUGAGAGAUUUAUUUUAUAUUGAGAAAACCUUUCACUUUUAUUUAUUUAUUAAAAAUCACAUUACAAAAUGAAUAUAACAGUCAAAUAACUAUGUACAUAUUUGUUUUUUAUUUUAUUUUAUUAUAAAACUAAAUCAUGAUCGGAUAAUUUAAAAAUACUUUACAUAGAUAAAAAUUACAUUUCACUAUAAUAUAAUGUCAUUAUAUAAUUUCAUAAAAUAUAUAUCCAAAUAUUAUGCAUCACAAACAAAGCAGAAUAUAUCAUGGAAUAUCAUUGAUUAUAUGUCUAUUCAAAAAUUAACUUUUUUUAGGUAUAGUAAUUCAAACAAGUCAAAAAAGGUAUAGUAAUUCAAUUUGAGUAAAAAAAGUAUAGUAAUUAAAUUUUGAAUUGAAUUGGUCCCACCAUGAAGUCCAUGAACAUUUUUAAAUCAAUUUUAUUGCUACAUGUUGCCCAAUAUUUUUUAAUCAAUCAAAUAUAAUUUUAUUAAAAAUAUUUACACACACCUUUUAAAAUUAAGAGAUAAAAUAGAUUAACGUGAUAAAUGAAAUAUAUUGAUGAUGUGAUAUAAAAAAAUAAAAUUAAGUGUUGAAAAACAUAAAAUAUAUAUGAUUUAUUACUCUAAUUUUAUUGUUAUUUGUUACACAAAUUUUAUGAUUUUCACUUAUAUAUUUUUUUUAUCAACAAAAUUUAGAGUAAAAAUAUGAUAUUUUAAUCUAAAUUAAAAAAAAAAGUUUUAAAGUAUCAACCAAAUCCAAUACUUUUUCUUUUAGCAGUAAACAAAAUCAUUGGAGUUUCACAUGCACUAUGUAUUUUUUUUUUGGCUACAAUACUUUCACCAAUAUUAUUAUUACAUGAAACGCAUCAAUCGCGAAAAAGAAAAUAGAAAUAAUAAUCGAAAGAAGCUAGAUCCUUAUCCCCUUAUUAUUCCGCAAAAAAUAGUUUCAGCGGCGGUGAGUAUCCAUCCCAAAUAAUUUGACAGUGUAAUAUCGCAGCCUCAUGUUUCACGACUCGUUGUUCCAUUCAUCAACAACACUAAUUAACCACAUCAUCAUAUACUUAUAUCAUAGCCUCAUCACAUUUUUCAUUUUCCCAAUUUUUCUAUUCUUUCACACACACCACACCACAUGGCUUCAAUUUCUAGUGUCUCUGCUCCGAACCUCACUUUCCCGAAGCAAAACCUCUCAGUUACCUUCCCUCUCAAACGUCCCUCACUUCUUCAUUUCCCUUCCCAACCACUAUGCCUCUGUCUCAACUCCGUCUCCGACGACAACCACAGCAAUACCAACAACAACGACGCUGCUAACCGCCGAUGGGAUUCGGUGCUCCACGAAUUCGUCUCCGGCGCUAUCAAACAAUUCGAUUCGUAUAUGAAAUCGCUCAGGAGUGGCCGCGCCGCCGCCAAAGAACGUGGUGAUGUUAACGAUGAAGAAUGGGAUUGGAAUCGCUGGCGCCAACAUUUCGAAGAGGUUGACGACCAAGAACGUCUUGUCACCAUCCUCAAGGUGCACCUCCGUUGCAUUCUUGUCUUUUCUUUUCGCUGUUUCUGAUGCUAAUGAAUUUCGAUUUUUGCAUAUAUCGUGUUGAACUUUCUGGUAAUUUUUUUUUUAUCUGUUUUGGUGCGAAAUAGUCUAUUUCUUGAAAGAUUUGAUUUCUCAGGAAUAGUCACGUGUAGAAUAAUAACCAAGAGAGUUAGCUAGAAACUCAUGCGCAAAAUCCAAAACUUACAGUUCUUUUAUCUUACAACUCUAGUAUCUUUUAUACAAUUGUUUAUUACAUUGUACUCCUUAAAAUACGCAUUCGUUAUUUCACCAAUGUUUUGAUAAUUUGUUAUUUAAUGUUCUUUGUCUAGUGAGCUAAGGGACGUUGAAAGAGUUUUAAGCAAGAGGUCCCAGUCUUCAUCCUGAAAACUAACGUAAUCUAACUUACUAACAUUUGCCAAUCAAUAAAGAAACGAUGUCAUUCCCCAAAUUAGAUGUGUGCUCAGCCAUCACACACCCGUCAGCUGCUCAUAGUGCCUUAAAAUCAGAAACAAUUUAGGUUUGUAAGCAGCUAGCUGUUCACUUUGGUUUGAUAAUGACUUUAGAUUAUCAAAUUCAGAAACAACUUACUUGUCCUAUUAACGGGUCGUGUAUAUGACAUAAUCUUAAAAGGAGUUUUUGUCAAAUUUUAAUGGUGAGCUGAGUCCUUGAUGUUAUGUGUCAAUGGGAAUUCUCAUGACAUACUUAAGUAGGAUUCUUUGAACCUGCUUAUAAUUUAAUUAAUCAGUUGGCUUUUUGGGUUUGGUAACAAUUAUUUGCUGACAUGAUUUUUGUGUUCUAUAGGCUCAGUUACGUCAUGCUGUAUAUGUGGAGGAUUAUGAAGAAGCUGCUAAGCUUAAGGUGGCGAUUGCAGCGGCAUCUAACAAUGACAGUGUUGGAAGAGUGAUGUCUCUUCUCAAGGUAGGAAUUUUGAUGUGCAUGAAGCAUUUCUGAUAAAUGAAGGCUGUUUUAAACUGUUAGCUGAUUUAUGUGCUUUACUUUUUCACAAUAUUGUUUGUAUUUUAAUUAUGUGUAUAUUUUCUAAUCUUGCAGAGAGCCAUAAAAGACGAGCGGUACAGUGAUGCGGCUUUUUUAAGAGAUAAAGCUGGGGCUGGACUCGUGAGUUCUUAUAGACUUUGUUUAAUGACAACUUGCAUGAAUAUAUUUGCAUUGUGGUGGAAAUAGAAUGUCACAUACAAUGUCAUAGGUCUUGUCAAAAAAAUUACAAUGUCAUAGGUCGAUCCUAGUAAUACAAUACAUACAGGUGCUUAAAUUGCUACUAAUACUUGGGUUGAAAAUUUGCUUCUGACGUCAAGACAAGACUUUCCUUGAUACUUUAGCUGUUGUUGGGAGUUGUUGUAGAACCAAACGACAGUCAAUAUUUUGAGAUAACAAAUAGUAAUUAUUUAUUUAUGGAAAUGUUUGGUUUGCUUAUUGUCACGACUUCAAAUUUACGGUGCAUAUCUUUUAUCACACAUUUCAAAUAUGAUUGUAAUUCAUUUACAUAUCUAUUGGUUGAUUGUAUCCUUUAUUUUCUUUUAAAUAGAUUAAUGCUGUGGUGUGACUGACAUUUUAGUGUUGUAUGCUAAGCCAAUAAAUUGCACUGUCUGUAGCAUCUGUUUUUUAUGUGUUACUUGUAAUGGUUUUAUGCCUCUUGAACUCAUCCAUAAAAACUAUUUAAACUUACACAUAUAUUGGCUUUUGCAGGUGGGUUGGUGGGCUGGUAUUUCAAAAGAUAUUAAUGACCCACAUGGCUUAAUUAUUCGCAUAACCCCAGAGCAUGGAAGAUAUGUGGCAAGGAGUUAUAGUCCUAGGUAAUUUUUAUGUCAUGAUGAUAAAAAACAUGUUGGGAAAUUUGUCUCUUGAAAGGAAUAACUUAUUACAGUAAAGGUGAUGUGGCACCAGUUCAGCACUAAGCUAAAAUGUCUAAAAUAUUUGGGUUGGAGUUCCACUACCUAUGAUAUGUAGCCAUAGUAUUUUUUUUUUUAGAUUAUCAAUUGUUUCAACUUAUGCCCAACUUCAACCUUAAACUAAGACAGAAAACAUUAGCCCUUUUUUCUAGGCAGAGGGGGUGUUCCAGAAUAAUUUAACCUAUUUUCUGCUUUUUUCUUUUCUGUUAACAGUAGCUAGUCUCUAGAGCAUGUGUCUUGGCUUGUGUUUCUAUUAGGUCUCUAAACUGAUAGAUGCUAGUUUAGGUGUAGUUGGCACAUUCAUAAUCGUGGACUUACUGCAUGCAUACAUUAUAUCAGAUUCAGAUCUCUAUAUCUAUAUAUAAUUUAGAAUACAAUUACAGAUUCAGUUCUUGAAAAUUCAUUUAUCUCAAAUCUUACAAUUUUCCCACGUUGACUCCCUUUCUUUUAGUUUUUCUUUGGUCACUGAAUUUUAGCACACUCUGUUAAUCUUAAUCCCGAAGUAGCUCUUUGCGGUUUAAAAAGCUGUCGUAAUAAGCUCGUUGAAACAUGGUCAAUAUUACAGGCGCUUCUUGUAAUAGAUGAAGUCCAUUAAGCUCACAAGGGAACCUUAUCAUAUAUGCUCAUGCUGACACACUUGUUUGUAACUCUGGCUUCUUUGUGUAUAAAUAAGAUGAGAGUAACUACUUACUAGGUAAGUGCCUUUGUGCAUGUACAUGUACAAGACUAGGUGUAGUACAAAACCCUAGUGAUAUUAAGGUGAUAUAGUCAAUCAGCGAUGCAUAUUUUGCCUAAUUUAAUGUAGACAUAAGAUAUUGAAAUAGAUGAUCAGUUUGCUAGGGGGAAUAUCGAGAAGAAUCUUAUUUCUAACCAUUAAGAUGAGAGAAUAAAGCAAUCGACAAAGAAAUUAAAAUUUCUCGAAUACAACAUUGACAAAAGUCUUCUCCAUUAAGUGCCCACUAAGUGCUACAAUGUCAUUAUAUCAUAUAAUCAAUCCUGGUUGAUGACACUUUAUUUUAAUUUAAAUCCUUCUUAACAUUUUGACCUAGAGUUCUUCUUGAAUCUUGAUGUUCCUUUAUUGGUCUAUUCUCCAUUUGAUCACUCCUCUUUAUUGGGGCUUCUAAAGGUCUUCUCUACAAACAUCUAAAGUCUAAACCACCAAUGUCAAGAUUCUAUCAUUGUUUCCGAUUCCACAUAGGGCUACCUCAAGUUUUCUUCUAAUGCUUUCCUUUUUAAUGCUAUCUUGCACGUGCGUGCAAUCAAUUAUUUUAACAUUCUCAAAGCUACAACAUUGAGUUUAAGUUUGUAUUGGCUCCAGCUCUCAACAUUUAGUCACAUACACCAUUGCAGGUUUUUCAGUUGUGCAAUAAAACUUUUCCUUAAGCUUGAGUCUAUCCUUCCUAUCAAAAAUUGCACCGGAAGCAUUCUUUCUUUUUAUCUGCCCUGCUUGGUUCUUAUGGUUUACAUUUUCCUUUAUUUUCCUACGGUUAAUUGUGGAACAUAUGGCAUGGCGUGGUCUCCAAUUUUCACUUAUAAGCUAGAGUUGGUGUGUUUGCUUCUAAACUUAUGUUCUGUAUAUUUUGUUUUACCUGUACUUGUGCUUUCAAAGUUUGUCUCCACAGCUCUAACUUAUUACAUAUUUCUUCUCUCUACUCUCCAGUUGAGAUUUUCUCAAUUCAAAAUUUGUCCCCACAGCUUAAACUUAAACUUCUUACAUAUUACAUAUUUCUUCUCUCUACUCUCCCGUUGGGAUUUUCUGAAUUCAAAAUUUGUCCCCACAGCUUAAACUUCUUAUAUAUUUUUUCUUUCCACUCUGCAAUUGAGAUUGUCUGAAUAAUAGAUAAAUGGUCAUUGUUAUGAAAGCUGAAACGUAUUGCACCAUAUGAUCCUUAUCAUCAUUGUAACAUAAAAUACAUUAGAGUGUCUUAGAUUAUUUCUUAGGAGUGAUUUCCAUAUUUUCUUAUAUAUCAUGAUUUGUUUCCUUAUUCAGUUAGGAUUGGGAGUCUAGUCUCAGUAUAAACAUUGAUUAGUGCUUUGUCUUCUGUAAUAUACUAAUAACAUCCAGCAUAUCAGUCACAUCAAUAUCAAUUUUAUUUUAUUAUUUUGAGCAUCCCUUUUCUUCCCUCUAUACCUAAAUAGACUAAAAACCUAACUAUAAUUAUACCUGGGGUUUUAUGCUUAGAUGUCAUAUUGUCAUUAGAUAGAGCAGUAUGCACCGAUUCUCUGUAUAAAACUUAAAACUUACAGCUAUUCAUGCCGUUUUUUUUCCUUCAUUCCUUGUAUGAAAUAUAUCUUAAUAGUAUUGAUUUAUUAUUCACAUAUCUUUGGGAACUACUUUUCACUUUUUGAUGUUUCAAACCAUUUCUGCACGUGAUACUUUUGGUUGUCCGGCCACUACUUUGUAUUGUUUCUGGUGUUAACACUUCUACUGUAUUUUCCUAGGCAACUUGCAACAUCUGCUGCUGGUGUUCCUCUAUUUGAGUUUUUUCUUACAAUGGAUAAAAAAGGUGAAUUCAAGUCGCAGGUAUCUCUUCCUGACUGACCUCAUAACUUUUUUCCUUCUGGGAUCUUUGCUAAUUAGACGGAGCAGUCUUACCUAAAAUUUGAGCUAUAAGUUACUUAUUUUCAUUGAGAAAAUUCAUUGCACUGAAUAUGGAUUUUCUAUUCCCAUUCAAAAUUUUGCUAUCUGAAUACAUGUGUAUGUUAAGGAUCAUCUUCCAUGCUGACAGUUAAACAAAUUUUCUAAUAGUUAUUCUGUUUAAAAAACUCAAGAUUAAUCACAUGCAUGAUGGCUAAGGAACUGGGAUUGCAUGUAGCUCAUAAUCUACUAAGUUUCAAAUUUUCUUUUUAUACACUAAUCACUAAUCUCUAUCUAUAUUAGCAUUAAGUUUAUGAUUUGCUCAUAUACUUGCUUUUUUAAGACAGUCCAGAAUACCAGCCAAUUUGAUUUUGGAUUUUAAAAUAUGGAAGUGAAGCUCUCUUAGGUUGGAUUUUUGGUUGUUGGGAAAAUGCAGAUUCAAACAUACAUGAGCAAUGUUACUUCCUAGUGUUAAUAUGGAACUUUGCAUCGUCUUUCAGUUUCGAUUAAUAAAUGUGAUUGAACUGGUCAGAAUUAUGUUUUAAAUUGCUGAAUAGAAAUAAGGAAGUUACAAUAAGAGAUAUGGAAUAAAGGAAUGAUAACUACCAAUAAUCACUAGGAGUUUGAGAGCCUAGACUCUCCUUAACCAACCUCAACAAGAUACACAAUGCCUAUUUCUUCCCCCUAUUCUCUAUUUAUUUAGUAAUAAAAUGGCGGUUAAAAACAGAUAGCAACAGUUACAUUAUUAAUGGCAGUUACUAACAACACUUCCCACAAAACUAGCGCCUUGUCCUCAAGGUGAUUAUGAAAGAAAGGAAAAUUAUGCUGUAAACACAACAAUUGUUAAUAGUCAGUGGCAGAUCCAAGACCCUUUGUUAGGUGGUGUAAUUAUGUACAUCUAAUCUAAAAAAGAACAUACUCCGUUCAGCUUUAUUUAUAAGCAUAUUUAUCUAACUUCACACAUAUUAAGGAGUUAGUUUAAUGGUCUUGAUUUUAUGUGAAAACAUUAUACUCCCUUUGAUCUCAUUUAUAAGAAGAAAAACCAAAAAAAUCAAUACUACCAAUCAAAUUUUUUAUUACUAUAACUUUUUGAAUAUUUUACAAAUAUAUCCCUCAUAGAAAAAUGUGAGACAUUAAAUACAUCCACUAAUAUUUAAAAGACAAACAUUAAAUGAGGAUAAAAAAGUCAUUUAAAUAAUAAAUGCAUCUUAAAAGUCAUAACUUUUUCUUAUAAAUGAAAUAAAAAAAUCCAAAAAAUUUCUUAUAAUUGAGACUGGUGGUAGUAAUUACUAAAAAAAUCAAUUAUCAUCACAUUAAAUUUGCGUUGAGUAUACAUUCAUUUAUUGGAAAAUAUGAGGAUUAAGAAUGAGUAUUUUGUAAACGGUGAUAUUAAAUAGAGUUAAAUUUGGUGACUUUUACUUAUAUUUAAAGCCACUAAAUUAUGGUUCUCUUUUGCUUACAAAUAAGGCAAAAAUAAGUAUUUCACAUUUUUUUCUAUGUAGUUUUAUGUUAUAAAACUUAGAAUAGCCAUUGAGUCAAUUAGAAUGUUGCGUCGCUAAUCAAAUUAUCGGUUAAAUAAAGUAAUAAUUAAUUAAAUCUCGGGAAUUAGUAUUGAAAAUCUUAUCUAUUACUAUAAUCUACAAAUUAUAAUAAAAUAUCAUAUUGCGCUGCACUGUUUUCUUACACGUCUCGCUGUCUCAGCACUCAAACCCAAUGGCAAAGUCACUGUAUGUGCUCCUUAUAAAGCAGGUUCCAACUUGCUAUUGUUGUUUUGUUAAAUAUAUUUUCAAUUUUCAUUAACAAAAAUCAUGCGCUGCGUGUUUAUACGGAUAGAGAGAGUGUACUGUCAACUAGACCUGUGCAACUGUUGGUGCAGCGCAGUGCAGUGCCAAAGAGAUUUUUCAGGGUGGUCCGAAUUAAAAGUUACUAACAUAAUAGGUGCAAGGGUGUGCAAGUGCGCACCCUAGAUUCAACAUAGGUCCACCCCUGUUAAUAGUACUUCUCAAGCAUUUUCCUCCGUGUUUUCGAACCUCCUAAGUCCCAAGGUUGAAAGGUUAGAAAUUAAAAUCUCUGUUUUACCAUUGCAAGAUAGAGAAUGCAUGGUUUUGUGACCCACUUUUGUGGUAGGAAGCUUUUCAUGUACCAGUGGCGGAAAAUAUGUGUUGGAUGUGAAAAUAUAGUCUUCUUUACGAUCAUCAAUUCUCGUCACCCCAUUGUGCUAUCCAAAAUACUUAGGAGACCCUCCCAAUGGGGAAUGCUAUUGCUAACCUAAUCUCCUUCACGUGUUGGUUAGCAUUUUCACACUUUUAUUAGACAAAAAGUCAUUUUUAAUCUCUUUCUGCUGAACUAAAUCAGUUAUAUGCCACUGUUGUUUUAGUAAUUAAAAAUUAAUAAUUAAAUGAGUAGAUAUUUAUCUCUCCUAAUAGACAAGUAUUUCUCUCUCCUAAUGGUAAAUAUGUGGCAACAACUUCAAACAUUUCUCUCAUUACUAUUUUAUAACAGAUAAUACUAAUUUUGAAAAAAAUAAAAUAAAGAGAAACCUCAAUGUAUGUAUUUUAAAAAUUUCAAUAUUACUAAAAGAGAGCAACCUGAUUUAAGGAAGGGGCAGAUCCAUUUGGAUCAAUAUUACCUUACAUUUGUUAGAUGUCAAUUUAAUGACUUAGUCCGUGGCCUUCUAGUAACGCAACUCUAUUAUUGCAACUGAGCUCCCUGUCUUAAAAUUGAAAUGAUGAUGAAGUAUCAUUAAAAAUUAGUAAUCCUACAAUAAUAAAAAAAUGACAUGAAUGUAUAAUUGAUGACAUGUUAUUUUUAUAUCAUCAUUGAUUGAUAUUUAAAAUUGUCUAACAUCAAAACAUUAAUUGCAUAAGAUUGAAGUUUUAAUUGAUAAAGUUUAUGAAGACGGUAGUUGUUGGAAAAGAGAAAGUUUAAUCGUUAGUUAUUUUGACAGAAUGAUUUAUAGGAAGACAGUGGUUGGUAGAGGAAAACUUAAUUUGAUUAAUUAGGUUAUUAAUUACUAAAAUAGACAUCAUCGCGUUAAAUUCUUUAAAAGGGCUUUUUUAAUAAGUUUUUUUUUCAAACAUAAAACAAAAGCUGCAUUAGCGCUUAUCUUAGAAGCUAAAAAUAACAGCUUCUGAGAAAGGUUGUCUCGUGGUAUCACUUUUUUUAAGGUUUAAGCAAACAGGCCAAAAUUGGUUUGUUUUCUCGAAUGAAAGUGUGUAGAAUGGUACACAUGACGGAGACUUAGAGGCCAAUAAUAUUCUUAUUAACUGCUUCUAGAAUAGGGAAAGUUUCAAUUGAAUCUUUUUUUUUUUGAAACUUUUGAAGGAAAACCACCUUUGUUGGUUUGAUUUUGGUUUACACCUGUUUUUUGUUGUUUCAAGCUUUUAUAUUACCUCUACUUAAAUUUACUACAUUUAAUGGUAUUAUCCAAUAACAAUGGUAAAGUAAAAUAAAAAUUAUAAUAGCUUUUAAAGAGUGUAUAUUAACAAUAAUAUACAACUCGGUCUCAACCUAUUAUGAUAUCUGAUAGCAAUACUGCAUUAAGAGUAUUCCUUUCAUUUUCAGGCUGUGUACCUAAAGCGAAAAGGAUCCUACCAUGGUCCUCCAACAUCGUCGUCUAAAACAUUGGAUGCUAGUGGGAGAUCGAAUUCAGUGGAGUCUACAGAAGACAAAAGUGAGUUGUUUGUUGUGACUACUGAAGAUCCAGAAAGUGGUGAUGAUAGGAGUGAUGGCUCUGACCCUGCUGAUGGAAUGCCUGGAUUUCAGAAUGUCUUGAAAGAUAUGAUUCCAGGUGUGAAGGUGAAGAUUUUCAAAGUGAUAACUCCAGAGAAAGUAGACAAGGAUCUAAUAUCUAAGGUGAUUGAGCAGAUAAUUGAGGAAGAAGAGAGUGGGGAUGAAGUUGAAGAUGGGGAAGAUGAUGAUGAAGAAGAAGAUGCCGAUGACGAUGAAGACGAAGAGAAGGAAAAUGAUACAGAAAGUCUGGAACUGGAAGACAUUAAGUUGGAAAGUGAUCAAGAGGGAGACAGUGAGAUUGAGAUAAAUGCUGAUCUUGGAACUUUUGAAAGUGAAGAACAGAAUGAAAUUGCUGUCAAAGUUGUCAUUGGUGGUCUUGUGCAGAAACUUUCCAGUAAUUUGUCACCUAGAGAUUUGCUUCGAGUUCCUGCUAAACUGGAGAUGAAGGGGCGUGGUUCAUUUUCUUUUACUGUUGAAAAAGAAGUCAAUCUGCAGGAUGGUCAUGACAAAGGGAAAUCUUCAACAGAUAAAUCAAUUAAGUUUCAAGGUCGUCGCAGAGCUGAUCAUGUUGCUUCUGACCUUGCUAAAUUCAUUGGCAAGGGAAACGUACCUGCAAAGGUUGGCUAAGUAAUCAAUAAAAUCUGCAAAUCAUCGAUAUUUUAGGCAAAAUUCACUAUUCUUGUAAAAAUCUAGUCAUAAGUUGCUUCGACUAAUGCAUUUCUUCAAUUUUACAGGUGCUGAAAGAGGUAGGAGAGUUGAUAAGUCUCACACUAAGCCAGGCUCAGAAUCAUCAACCAUUAUCUGGGUCAACUAUUUUCAAUCGCAUUCAAAUACCAACCUCAUUUGAUCCUUUAAACGGUGAUUUUCUAGAGUAUUUGUCAUUUGACUAUUAUGAAAGUAGAAUGUUUGUUUUUAAUCUGUAAUGUAGUGUAAACCAAGUAACAAAUAUUCUCAUUUAUAUCAGGCUUAUAUGUUGGUACAUAUGGUCUUCACUCUUCCGAAGUUAUUCAAAUGAGACGUAAAUAUGGUCAAUGGCAGGAGGACGGUAGGGCAGAAGAGCCAUCGGAUCUUGAGUUUUAUGAGUAUGUAGAAGCUUUGAAACUAACUGGGGAUCCUUAUGUACCAGCUGGCCAGGUAAUAAUAUCAUGAAUUUUAUUCACUUACGAAUUAAUAUUUUUUACUUACAUCCAUCGUCAUUCUGUGAUAUUGAUUUCUAUACAUCGUCAAUCCACCUGAAAGAAAAAGGUUGACGACUUGACAGCAAUAAAUGAUGAUUUAAAUUUAAAUCAAAUUGUUACUUAAGCUGAUUAUUUUUUAACAAUUUUCUUUCGCAAUGAAUUGAAAAUAUUAAUAAUUUAAUUGAUAGAAGGGUCCUCUAAUAUGGACUACAUGAAAAGGGGUCCAAAGAUGAUAUAGCAGGCUUUGUAAUAUACUUUCUAUUCACUUUACUAGAAUUGCACUGAGGAUAAGUUUGACUUUAACUAUAUUAAUGCUAUCCCAAAAUUGGUUAUUUAAAUAAGGCUUAAAUAUUCUUUUAGUCCCUGCAAAUUUGAGUCAUUUUGAUUUUAGUCCCGGUAAAAAUAUUUUUUUGAUUUAUAUCCUGCAAUUUUAAAUAAGCUUUAAAAAAGUCCUUAUUGAGUUUUUUUUUAAUAAAAAACAUUGAGCUGUAUCAUUAUGUUGAUUGUGCAAUUUUUAUUAUUAAAAAUUUAAUAACAAUUCAUUAAUUAAUGUUUAAAUCAAUAAAUUCUCAAUUAUAAAAAAAAUCAUUAAAUCCCAUAGAAGAAAAAUAAAACCCAGAUAUGCUUUCUCUUGGGCAUUGCUUUCUUCAACCUUCUGAUAUUUAAUUUGAAAGGCUCAGACCACCUAUUUUUACCAUUAUUUUUCUUCUCUAUGUUAUGUUGUUUCCCGAUUUGUAGUUCUAUAUUUGGGGAUUUAGGUUUAAGCCUCACUCAGAAACAUGAAUUCCAUUGAUUUCAACCUCUAAAUUGGAAAUAAGAACCACUCUGCUCUCAUCCAAACCCAUCUUAAACUUAGGUUCAACUAUUUCAUCUUAAACCCAUCUUCGGUGUCAGCGAUGGCAGCAACGUAUAAGGCUUUGUUGUUAUUAAAUUCUUCUCCCCGUUGGUGGCCGUGUUCGGCUUGGAUCUGGAUUCGGAUAGAACUUGUCAUCGACUCUGAUAGCGGCGGGAGCUUGAAUAAAACUAAUAGAAAUAGUUUGUUUUAAAACCCAUUUGUUUGGGGUUUAGUUUUAGUAAAAACAAUGUACAUUGUUUAGCAAGAAAUCAGUCCUAUUAAUCAAUAGGUUUUGAAGGCUUAAUCUACAGUAAGAAACCCAGUUUCUUGAAGAUGAACAUGUGGGUAUAUUUAUUUUAUAAGGAAAUAUUUGUUUUAUUUAUUAUUUUAAUAAAGUAUUUGUUGAAAGAUGGAGAUUGUUCUUCUUUGGAGAAAUGAACUCAGUAUUUGUUGAAAUUAAUUUUGGGUUUAUUUGUUUUCUAGAUUUUUGGAUUGCAUAAGAUGAUCCAUUUCUGGGAUUGGGAUUUUAAUUUCUGGGUUUUGGGUUGAAUUUAUUUAUUUUGUUUUUAUUUAUAAAUGAAAGCUUAAAAAUGUUUUUGGUAAUUUUUUUCAUUGAAUUAUUAAAUGGAUUGUUAUUUAAUUUUUAAUAAUAAAAAAUGCACAGUCAGCGUCAUUGAUACAGUCAACACAUGUCAUAUCAGCACAAAUUUGCCACUUCACCAUGUUUUUAAAACUUAUUUGAAAUUGCAGAGUAUAAAUCAAAAAAAUAUUUUUACAAGUACUAAAAUCAAAAUGACUCAUUGCAGAGACGAAAAGCAUAUUUAAGCCUUUAAAUAAUCAACUUGUGAGAAAUCAAACAAAACACUACACCUUCCUUCUCUACCGUCUCGCCAGCAAGCCAAAAUCAAACAGAUAUACAUGUUCCUUCCUCAACCAGCAUGCCAAAAUCUCUGUUUUUUUUUUUGCGAAGAUGAUCAUGCACAGUUGGUAACACUCUUAGUGAUGGUAAAACUGAAAAACAGAGUGAGAGUUAGAAUGUGAGAGUUAGAAUGUGCGGUGCCUCACAAUAUCCGCGGUUCACAGACUCAUGCUAAUAUGACCAUUGUCAGCACCUCAACAAAGCCCUCUCGAUCUGCCGUAAACCACGGAAGUCCAUCAUCUUCUUCCCUCGGAACUCCUCCGCUCACACAUAAUAGCUGCAUCAAACCUCCGUCUAAGCUCAAGGCCAACAUUGAGCACCUGCCCUGUGCCAUGAGCUGCGGUUUCCAUCCUGCAAUUGUACUUCUACGCACAACCACACAUUCACCAUGGAUCCUGUCUGUCCGAACCACCACAACAUUAAGCUUUUGACUUUCAAAGAGAAAAUUGACGUCGUUGAGGAAGAGAUUCAUAUUCCGUAAUUGGCAUACUACUUCAGAGUUCAGACCAUGGAGGUGGCAGUUCUAAGAUACCCAAUUUCACCUUCUUCCCUAAACGUGGAACACAUCGUAAAGUUACAAUUUCUGGGGACCCAAAUCUAAAAUAUAAACAUAUAAAAAACCCAGUGAAACUGGAAGCAUCCCACCUUUCAACCCAGUCUAUAUUAGGGGUUCCCUUGAAACAACUGGUUGUGAUUUUGAAGUUAUAGAUACUCAGAAGAUGUGUACAAAGACUUGUACCCACACUGCAAAUUGGUGACUUUGGCUGUUCUUUGCUUAGUAGGGAUUUUUGUAUUUGAGGUGCUGUGUGGUGUUGAGCUUCAUACAGCUCAUAAAUGGUUUUUCCAGUUAGUCAUAACCUAUUCUGUAGCACUGAAAUGUUGUUUAUAGAAGUAAUGUGGGGUAGCAAGGCUAGUGAUUUGCUGGAUGGCUUGAUUUAAUCUAUUUACAAUUUUUGUUGCUGUCAAGCAGGUAAUUGUUGUAGGCUGUGUUUAGCAGUAGCACAUAUAUUGUUCUAUGACAUGAUUAUAUUAUGUGUUUCUGCUAUACUUAAAAGCAUCAUUAUGGUAUUUUAACUAUCGUAAUAACAUGGUUGAUACAUAUUUUUGUGUUCUGCUGCACAACCUUUUCAACUUGGUUUGUCUUGUGUGGUAGUUAAACGGCUUAAACAUUGAAAACCAACAUUAUUGUAUAUGAGAACCAAAAUAUCAAGUUUGUUACUAGGUUGGGCGAAGAUACUCAAUGUGUUCUGUUGAAGUGAAUAGUUAUUUCGUUGAGACACAGAUACAAUGUGGUUUGGACCAAGUUCAACAGAAACCAAGAUAUUUCGUGUAUUUUGAUUUUUUUUUUUUUUUUUUUGUGAAAAGAUGUGUGAUCUCUUUCUGAUUUUCAUGUUACGCAGUAUUUAUCAUAAACCUCAUUAAUCAUGUUCCUUGAUCUCCUUAGGUGGCAUUUCGUGCAAAAAUCGGAAAGAGGUAUCAACUUCCACAUAAAGGGAUAAUUCCUGAAGAAUUUGGUGUGGUAUGAUUUUUAUUUUAUAUUGCAGGGGUACCCAUUUAAGUCUCGUUGCUUAUUCCAUUCUGUACUCCUUCAACUUUCAUUGAAUUGGCAUUAAUUCACAGUAAAGAGGAGUGUAUAGUUAUUCUCUAAUCUUUUCUAAUGUUACUGACAUUUCAGAUUGCUCGCUAUAAAGGUGAAGGGAGGUUGGCUGAGCCAGGGUUUCAGAAUCCUAGAUGGGUUGAUGGUGAACUUGUGAUUCUUGAUGGAAAGGUUUGUAUUCUCCAGUCUGGUCUAAUUAUUUAGCCUUUACUUUUGUGCAAGUUUUUUCUAAUUGCAAUUUGCCUUUUGUUGGUUUUGCAGCACAUAAAAGCAGGACCUGUUGUUGGAUUUGUGUAUUGGGCCCCCGAGUAUCAUUUUUUGGUCUUCUUCAAUCGGCUUAGACUUCAACAAUAAUGUUUCGUUGUUCAUACUAUCAGAGAGUUGUAAAUUCUUUCUUCAGAUUUUUAGCGUAAGUUUUCUUUAAAAAGGCCUUUUUAACUUAACUGGCCAGUUUAUCUAUUAUUUUUAUGAUUUAUUAUUAUAUAUAAUAAUUUUGCUCAAAGCUUUGGAAAAUAUUGGAAACCUAUAAAGCUUUAGCUCAUAGGCAUAUUUCAAGCCAUAACAUGAUUGUAUGUUUUUAUGGCAAGGCCAGGUUUUAAUAAUGUGACCUGGCCAACUUAAGCGAAGCCUGACAUAACCUAUUUCCACAUCUAAUUUUGGGAUAUUUUAAUGGCUUUAUUUUAGUAUUUAGUAUAAGGAUUCCUAAAGGGGAUUGUUAUAAGAGAGUAGAGGGUAAAUAGUUCAAUAAUUCAACAAUAAUAAAACAAAUAUUUUUAAGAGGGUAAAUAGUUAUUAUGAAAUUUUACCACUAAAAUUAUGGUUGAAUAAAACAACAAAAAAAUACUUAAAACGUAGGAUUACAUUUUAAAUACUAAGAAAUUUUACGAUUACAUUUUAAAUACUAAGAAAUUUUACGAUUACAUUUUAUAUAUAUAUAUAUUAAAUGAGAGGAAUUUUAUACUGAGAAAAUGAGAGGAAUGAUUGUUAGAAAUAAUGAAUGGCUAAGAUUAGAACAAAUAUUGAACCAUAUAAAAUCAAUGUAGAAUUGUAGAAUCAUAAACUUGCUAGUACAAUCAAAAGUCUACCGAUUUUAUCAAGAGUUUUUACAUGCAAGUUAACUCAUUUGAUUUGAAAAACAAUAGGUGUGACUUGACCUUGUUUUAUGUGAACCAGUUAUUUGUUUCUUUUCUCUGUUUAUCCCUGAGGAUUCCUCCUUUCCCUGUAUGAAUGGACUGGACUGGUUAGUUGCUCGGACAAAAACUAUUGAACAGGCUUGAUGAGAAGCAAAGGAAAGAAACUUUGAAAGGAAACGAGAGAAGGAGGAAGUAAUUAAAUUUAAAGAAUAGUUUGCAUGGCCUGUAUCCCAAAUUUCUGGCUGAACCCUCUCAUUAGCUGGCCGGGUACAAAUACGGGUUAUACAGCUAUGAUAUUCUUUAUUCCUCUCUUAUUCCUUUCCAAAUUUAUAGAAGUAAAUAAAUAUUAAAUUUCAUUUUACUAUAAAAUUAAUAAUAUAAAUAAUAUAACUCAUAUUUAUUCAAUGUUAAGUUGUUCCACGGUAGACUCGCUUGUUGAAUUACUUGCCUUUUUGAGUUGAUAACUAAUUUGAGUUUUGUGACUACCUUGAGCAGGUGUGCUUAACUAGUUUGAGUUUUGUGACACUACUUUGUAUGGUUUGCCUAAGGAGAAUACCUUCUGCAUUCCCCUAAAGAGCUUUCUGUUUCUUUUAAAAAACUCCACAACACACUUGAAAAGAAUAUAUAAAGAGAUAAUCUGAAUUACAUUUCUCCUUGUCAAAUUACAGAAAUUGAUACAAACUUGUAGGCUCUAUCAAAUCUAUUGUAAUUAAAGAGUUACCUGAAAAUAAAUUUUGCUAAUAGUAAUGUACACAAUCAACUCCUAAGUACCACAAUUACAGUACACAUCUGUUACACAUCGUUCCUUGUAUUUACACCUCGUUGUUCGUAUCUUCAUGCAAAAACACAUUAGCCAUAUUUUAAUAUCUAUCGCUUGAGCCCAUUGAAGAUCGUCUUUUUUAAUCGAUCCUUGUACUUACACCUCGUUGUUCAUAUCUUCAUGCAAAAAGUCAUUAGCCAUAUUUGAAUUCCCACCCAAAGUGAGCUACCAAGGAUAGAUCGACCCUAAUCAUAUUUAUUUUUUCAACUAGAGAAAACAUUUAUUCAUAAUUGAAUCUCAUAUGUAUGACUAUAUCCCUUGUAUUAUAUUGAUCCAAAGUAUCUUGAGAUUGAUACAUUCGAGAUCAAUUAUGAGGUACUAUUUUCUUAGACUUUUCUUCUGCAUAAUCCUCGAGUGCAUCCAAGGUCCUUGUCCUUUCCAUGAAGUCUAAUAUUUUCCUCAGUAUGGCUUGCCUUCUUAGACUUCUACGGAGUACCCUAACAAUCUUUACAGUUAGACAUCCUAGAGGGCUUUCUAGAAGAGAAUGGUCCUUUGUUGAGGCAUUUUCAAAUAGCUAAGGCAAAACCAUCAAUAAAGUUGACACACACAUUAAACUGACACUUUCAUCACCUAAGUAGUGUAUAAUAUCUCUACAAGUGAAGGGAAUUUUUCCUUGCCCAAAUUCUGAAGUUGUAGAAGGUCAUACUCGACAAUGUUGUCUGGAUCGGGAGGGAACUUGUAGUAGAAUUUCACGAUUCUAUGAUCCUCUCACUUGUUUCCGUGUUACGAUCUGUUCACCUCUCCCUAUCUUAGGUAGGAUCUUGAGUUUGGCAACAUUAAUACUUAGAGUUUGAUAGGAAUCACACAAAAGGAAAAGAUGAGCUCAAGGGUUUCCAUAUUCAUGAUAGUGAGCAGAAAAUUUUUUAUGAUAGAGAGGGUACCAUUUAUAGUCUUUUACCUAGUAAUGAGGGUAGUUGCUAUAAUUACGAUGUGUCUUGUUGGAGUUCAUGGUAGAGAGAAAAUAUUUUCUCACUCUCUCAACAAACUCGCCAGCAUGGUGUCUUCACUUGAUUUCAUCAUCAACUUUUGAUACUGGCCCAACUUGAUUCGCAAGCCAUUUAUGCCCCAUAGUAGUCGCUUACCGAAGGAUUUUCCUGUUUGUUUGGAAAAUCAUUAUCUUAACAUGCUAAGAUAUAACUUCCUGUUUCAUAGUAAGACUGGAGAAGGUUCUCCCAAAUCUCCUUGGGACCGGAGAAAAACAUACAAUUCUGCUGAACUUUGCUGUCAUGAGUGCUAUACUCUGUAUCAAUUGGGGUAUUCUGUUCAAUGCGGUGCUGAAUUGUAUUACACUUAUUCAAAGUAUAGAAAUGAUACAGAUUUGUAGGCUCUAUCGGAAUCUAUCCUAAUUAAGGAGUUUCAGGAUGUAAAAUCAGAAAAUAAAUAGUGUACGCCACUUCCUAAUUAAGGUAAUGACAGUAACAAAAUUGUUACAAUAGUAAUAAAGGAAAAACAAAUCUUUUAAUUAUGUCAACACCUUAAUUUCAAGGAUUUGUCGUGUACACAUUUUUCUUUCUUGAGAAAUCUUGAAAUUAGAUUCGAUUUUAAAACAUGUAAUUGUUUCUGGAAUCUACUUUUUGUUAUGUGGGUUGCCAAUGUCAUCUUCCAAGUACUCUAGUUUGCAUUGCUUUCACACAAUGAAAAUCACUGGCAAAUUGUGGAUAAUGGAGAUAAAUGCCACACAUUGUGGUCUUGGGAUUGAAGUUUUGGAGACUGUCUGAAAUUGGGGCCACUCAAUUUACUUAAAUUGGAGAAUGUCUCCGUGCAUAUCAAUGCUGUAUACAGGUCAACACUAGUCUGAGACUUGGUUGGUGAUUGGUGUGAGAUUGCUUAUCAUGUUAAAUGAGGAGAAAAGUUUGAAAUGCGAUAUGUGAGAUUCAUUAAUGUGUUGCUACUCUUUUAUUACUGAAUAAUAAAACAUGAAUAACACAUAUACAGCUGUCCUGUUAUGUAUAGAAAGCAUCAUAACUUGUAAAGUUAUCAUUAAGACAAACUAUUUAUCUUUGAGUUUGACCCUUAACUAAAACAAAACAUGUUAGAUACCUGAAAAUAUUGCAUUAUGUCAAUAUUCUAUCAUAAAAUGUUGUGUCUUAGGUUAUCUCUUAGAAUUAGUUUACAUAUUUCCUUAUGUAUCAUGAUUUUUUUCCUUCUAGAAAUCCAGUAUUAAUAGAAGGGAGUGUUUGGAAUAAUUUGUUUAGAGCUUAUUUUGGCUUAUCUCAUGACAUGGUACUUGGGUAAGUGUUUGGAAAAACUUAUAAAAAUAGUAUAAGGCAAUAAGGGAGUGGUUGGAACAACUUGUUUAGUGUUAAUUUUGGCUUAUAUCAUACAUGAGUACUUGGGGUAAGUUUUUGGAAAAACUUGUAAGAAUAAUUUGUGAUAUGCCCAUAAUAUGUUAUAAGCUUUCCAAGAUAAUUUACUUACUGAAACAACUUGUGUAUAGAGCAUAUCCCUAUUCUCUCUUCAAUUCCUAUUUUCCCCAAAUUCUUUUGUCAUAGUGAAAACAAUUGUUGAGAAUGCAAAUAGUUUUUAACUGUAUAUCCAAAUGCAAAUAACUUAUUGAACUUAAGCAUUAAUGACAUAAACUCUUACAUAAUAAGUACUUAUUUAAAAAGUGUUUAAUAAUCCUUCUUCAUAUAUCAUGAUUUGUUUCCAUGUCCAAUUUAGAUUAGGAAUCUGGUAUUAGUAUAAAAUAAGGAUUGUAACAUGCAACAUUAUUCACAUUAGAUCCUUUAUUAUUGUAUCCUCUCCUUUUUUCCCACUAUAAUAAAAGAUGAAAACUGUAUAAUUUUAAUGAAGCCUUUUAGUUAAGAAAACAAAGAUUCGUUUAUUAGCCACAUAAGUUUUUCCUACCGGUUGUUUUUAAGUGCUUAGGUUUUCUAUCCAUUCUUUAUCUUUUUGUUUUGGUUUUAAGUGGUAUUGUCGUGAAAUGUCUCUCCACUUUUCCAAUUAGUUUAUCCAUAUAAAGACUUCAAGUUGCAAGCUUCUUUAUGGAAUAUGGUUUAAGAUUGUUGCAGUUUAUUGUCAGUUCCAGGUUUCAAGGAAUGCUAAACUCGUGUACUUCAGUGAAAGAUAUCAUCAUUCAAUGCAGGAUCUUCCAAUUAAGGUAUUUGGUAUUUUUAACUUUAGAGCUUAAUAAUUAUACACUGACAUUGUAAACAAGUUUCAUAAAUGCAUCUAAUCUUUUUUCACUGUCUUGUUAAAUAAUAUUACUUCUUAAAUUCUGUUUCAUUGCGACAUGAUAGUAGAAUACGAUUGAGUGUUUGUGUUAAACUUGUUUACACCAGUAGCUUAUAUGAAUUGAAUGCUUUGUUUUAACAAUGUUGUGGCUGUUUUUUUGUUUUUUCAAUUAACACUUCUCUCUGAUGUUUACUUUUUAUGUUUGUGUCUCUCUUAUGUACAGUGUAAAAUAGCCUUCUGCCAAGCAGCAUAGAAUUUGAGCACUGGGCUGCUUGUGUAGUUCAUAAUAUCAGCACUAAAGCACAAUGUACUAAUCUCUUAAUUUCUCAUAUUGUAGAGGUGUAGUGUACACAUGGCAUCCUUCAUCAAUUUGUAUAGUGUUCUAAAUUUUCCUUAUGUCAUAUUCCCAUUUAUCAUAAUUUCAUAAUCAUGCAUAGGGUUUCAGUGUUCUUUCUGUUAGGAUGAGUGAAAUCUUUCAUUACAAGUGACAUUAGUUCAUAUUCCCACUUUGGACAGUACUUAGGUUUUUCUCUUAGCUUCAUCAUUAGAUCAAUGUACAGUUCCAAAAGGGUCUUGCCAAAAUUUUGAAUAAUAAUUUUAGUGGGGCAUGACAACCGAUGUGCCGCGUCUUAAUUUUAGCCUUAUCUUGAACGAAUGAACUUGGGAGUGUAUGCACAGUUAGCUUACGCUUUCUAUUGAAUUUAUUGAGACCUGUUUAAACUUGGUUUGGAAUGGAUGGAAAAAUAGGAAAUGUGCUGGUGACUGGUGGAAUAAAAAUAGGGCGAAAGCUUAUCCUGUUUAGGAAGCUGAGUUAUAGAGGAAAAGAAAACGUGGGUAACAUCUGAUUUUUAUUUUUCCAAGGUGAUUUAAUACUAUGGAGGCCCUUCUUGCAUUUCAUUUUUUCUGAAAGCAGCUAACAUUACAGGCACUUUCUGUGAUCUAGUUUGACAUUCCAAGGUCCAUGAAUCAGCAUGCUUUGGUUUACAUCUGGUUGCUUUUAAUUAAAGGAGUUUGCUCUAUUUUUGGGGAUAAAAUCCACUCCCAUACCCUGGAGAGAUUAAAGUAUUACUAUAAAGGAGAGAGAGAUUUAUAACUUAUUCAAAGCUCUCCAAAUUAAUGUUUUUUUAUUCAGUUCCUCCAUAUUCAUGGAUUUUAAUAUAAUAAAGAAAAACAAAUCUCUUUUCAUUUUCUCUUCCCUUUAUUUUCUCAAUCCUCUCCGAUUUUCGAUCUACAACCAAUCUCAUGCAUAUUUAUAUGUACAAUUUAUAUUUACUUAUUUGUUAUCAAAUGUGAGAAAUAGAUGGAGCGCUCCACCUAAUUGAUUAAUGACAAUAGUUAGCAUGUAAUACCUACAUUGAGUGUGUUGUUAUACCCUAGUAUGUGUUUGGAAUGUUGCCUUUUUAUGGUGUAGAAACAUAUUGGAAUGUGGAACUUAUGAUGCAAAUGUGCAUUCAAACAUACUCUAAAUGAAUUGAUUUUGUCAAAAAUAAAAGUGAUUACUUUUAUUUAUUUUUAUGGAAGAAUGAAAUUGAACGAGAAAAAAAUGAGCUUUUAUGGAAGAAUGAGAAUAAAUAAGUAAUUACUUUUGACAUAAAUUUUUGUUAGAAAUUUAAUCCUACUUACGAAAUCAUUUGACUUGUCAUUCAAAUGCUUAUAACCAAAUAGUGGUAUUCUAAUGUUAUAACAAAAUCUCAGACUCAUUAUGUAUGGUCAUGCAUUUCCCAUCUUCUACUUAUUGUAAUUGGUCUUUUGUGUAUGUAAGGCUAAUGUUUUGGAGUAAGAACUAUUUAUAAAUUGUGUGAUUGAAUUGAUUUAGUUUGAAGCUUCGAAAAAAUCACGAUACCACCGAUCUGCUAAAUCGACCAUCAUUCCAAAAUACACAGAUUAUUUGAAAAAAUAUAUUUUUUGAUCUACAGAUGUGUUGGCAAUUGAAGUUCAACAUGCAAGCUAUGUCAUGUUAUGUUGGGUUAAAUUAACUUGUUAUUCAGAUAGUAUCUAAAUUCGAUGUGUUAAUAAUACAGCUAACUUCUUAUGUUGGGUUAAAUUAACACAGAUGAUGUGUUAAUAAUAUGUAAUUAAGAUCAGUUAUUCAGAUAGUAUCUAAAGUCGAUCUCUGACUAAAUUUAUUGGUCAAGUUAUUUAAUUUUUUAUCAAAUUUAUCAGAUCCUUUUUCCCUAACAAAUCAGAUAUUAACACCCAAAAUAAUCUCUUUACUUUGCCUUUUAUGUCCUUUCUUCAUAUGGCUUGGGAGGCAUCCUUACCUCACUUAUAUUUGCAUACAUUAAAAGAAGUUUAAUGGUACCCUUUCGAAAUUUUUUUAGAAGUGUAGUUUGUUUGUCACAAAUUCCAUAUAUUUAUUUCCUACGGACCCAUUCAAAGCAUACACCAUAGCAUUAGUUUUAUUGAUUUUACUGCUUAUAUUUUACAUAUGAUGAUUAUAUGUCACCUACAACACCAUUUGCUACUUAUUUAGAUCAACCAAACCUUAAUAAGCUAUCUUAGAGUGUUUUAUUGGAAGGGUCACACAACACACAAAAGGUUUAGGUUUAUGCUUUCUCUGCUGCACCAAACAACACUUCUUUUGCUAUCUUGGCUCCCCGUUCUUUGGCCAUAUACAGACCCACAUGAUGCAUAAACUCCUGCCAAUGGUGUAUUAAUUAAAUGGGCAUUAGUAGAAUGCACUAAAGCUAUAGUCCCUUGGCUUUGACACAUUAUCAUAUUUUGGAGUAAAGAUAGGCAAUCUUUUUUUUAUAUUAUUAUUUUCCAUUACUGAUAAAAUUAAAACUAAAUAAUUUGUAAUGGUUACAAAUGUACCUGAGGAUGGGCUAAAGCUCCCUUGAUAUUUGUGGCUACCUCAAAAGGGACAUCGAAGGUAGCACAGGCAUGUGAAUAGACCACAACAUUUUCUAGAGGCUUGAGAAAACCACGGCUUUUAGCUGACAUUGUAGUGGAUACAAAAUCCAGAACACAUAUAUCUGUGCAUACACCUACCACCACCAAAGUUUUGAUUUUAUUCUUCUUCACCCAAUCUACAAAAACAUUUGAACCAUCUUCUUCUAUUGAGCCAAUAUAUCCAUCAAAACAAUCCUUACGUCUUAUUGUCACAUUGGUUUCAUUCUCUAGCCAUCUCAAUGCUACAAUUCCACAAAAAUAUAAUAAAUCAGAACAAGAGACUAGUUAAAAAAUAGAGAAAAUAUCCCCUGUAAACUAUUUUAUUGGUUGUGCAUAAUAAUAUGUCAAAAAAGAGAGAGAAAAAGAUGUGAAUAAUUGGUAAAUUAACCUGGAACUAGAUUUGAUUCAUCAGUCCCAACAAUACAGUGAGGAGGAUAAGGGUCCUCUGGCUUGUUAGGUUGGUGAGAAUCAAGGAAAGCCAUAAUUGGUAAUUUCUUCUCACAGAAUUGUCUAGCUAGCUUUUCUGAUUCAUUGAUCAUUUCUGAAAUCUGUCUAUUGGACUCCCUUGGUGCCUGAAAAUAUAUACAAUCAUUCAAAAAGAAAAAACUGUGCAGAAACCAUUUAACCCUACAAAAAAAAAAAAAAAAAACUAAACAAGUUUAGCUGAUACCAGAUUUCCAGCACCAACUGUGCAGAAGCCAUUUAUGAUAUCAACAAGAACAAGACCAUUUAGAGUGUCUUCAGUUAAAACCACUGACUCCUGUUCCAGAGGAAUCUCACUCUUCAGAAGUUCAACUGUAUGUGAGACCAUCUUGCCUUGGUUUUCACUUCUCAGAGGUGGCAAGGAAUUAAUCCGUCUAUUCAAUGUCACGCCAUUAUUUGCAUCUUUAUCAUUAUAAGAAUUAAUAAUAUAUCAAAAGCAUAUAUGUCCGUGACUCUAUUAACGUAACCAAAGUCAGAAUCAAAAUAAGAUUUGUCCACCACUCACUCUCCGCCACUUAAAAUAUCUAACUUUUACAUGUUAAUUUAAUAUUUUUGAAAAUUCAAAAUAGGAAGGAAGAAAAGUUAAAGACGAAACUUUGAUUGUUAAAAAAUAUUGUGUAUUGGUUUGGAAAAAUGGUUUAUAGUGUGAAAGUUUUUUUGAGUAAAAUAAGAACAGAUGAACUAUUUUAAAAGGUAUUCUUUUACAAGCUUAUAGUCUUUUUUUAUAUUUUAUUAGAUAUUUAUGCGGUAUAUUUACAAAUUAAUAUAUUUCGAUAGUGUCAAAUGAAUUGAUCAAUUGAAUGAUAUACUUUUAAUGAAUAAGUAUCAUUAAAUUAUAGAUUUAAUAAUAUAAAAAAAUUUAAUUUUUUACUUUAAAUUUCUUUAGAUUAUCGAUUAAGUCAAUUUUUAAUAUACGGUCUAUCAUAUAUAUAUAUAUAUAUAUAUAUAUAUAUAUAUAUAUAUUAGUGAAAAAAUACAUAAAUCUCAGAGGUGGCAAGGAAUUAAUCCGUCUAUUCAAUGUCACGCCAUUAUUUGCAUCUUUAUCAUUAUAAGAAUUAAUAAUAUAUCAAAAGCAUAUAUGUCCGUGACUCUAUUAACGUAACCAAAGUCAGAAUCAAAAUAAGAUUUGUCCACCACUCACUCUCCGCCACUUAAAAUAUCUAACUUUUACAUGUUAAUUUAAUAUUUUUGAAAAUUCAAAAUAGGAAGGAAGAAAAGUUAAAGACGAAACUUUGAUUGUUAAAAAAUAUUGUGUAUUGGUUUGGAAAAAUGGUUUAUAGUGUGAAAGUUUUUUUGAGUAAAAUAAGAACAGAUGAACUAUUUUAAAAGGUAUUCUUUUACAAGCUUAUAGUCUU
rnacentral:lncRNA from 1 species